rnacentral:lncRNA from 1 species
CUUUUAAAAAGUUAUAUAUAAGUCCUUUAUAGCAAAUAUUAAAAUAUUACAAAUUUUAGUUUUAGCAGGGCCAAAUUGAAUUUUUUUUUCGUAAAACUUGUGUUCCAAUUUUUAUUCCAAACCUCUUGACCAUUUUUCUUCUACUCCUAUAGUAUUGUUCAUUCUUGAGCACAUUAUCACUAUUAUUGCUAGUAAUGAAUGACCAAUGAUCCUAACAAACUCUUUCUCUUACUAUCCGAGAUUUUUUUUUUAUACCGAAUCUAAAUCUUAGACCCCUUGAACCUUAAUUCCUGGCUUUGGCCUCCCCCGAAUCUUAAUUCCUAGUUUCGUCCCUGUGAAUUUGUAUUAUAAAACAAUAAAAAGAAAACGAAUAUAAUCUCUUAAAAUUUCUGAUCAUCUUCGACCAUUUUCACCCCUUAACUUAAAAGUGAUGUUUAUAUAUAUUGUAGGGAGAUAAAGUGAUUUUUUAUCGUGUUUUUCAUUUAGUUUAUUAUUAAUUUCACAUUAAAAUUGUAUUUAUUUUUGUUAAAAUAUGAUUUGUCAAAAAUCCAACCGUAUUCCACGGUUUUGACCUCUAAUCGGAUCGAGCUAUUGACUUCAUAAUUCACUAGUUUAAUUUCACGUGUAAUUUAAGUCCAUGUAUAAUUUGAUAUAUCAAUUGAAUAUAUCAAUUAAAUGUACACAUAGUAAAAACAUUAUUCUUCUAUAGAUUAAGAUUUUAUUUGAAUAUAUGGGUUUCUUAUUUUUUAUAUCUCUUCAUUAACUUAAGUUGUUUGUACCUGAGAGUAAUCAAACAUAUAGAAUGGAACUAUAUUUCAUAUUUAAGUUAUUUUUUUGAAAAAAGAUCGAUGAAUCAUCUUAUAACUGAAAUUUGCUAUUUAAUCAAAUUAGGAAUGUCGAACAAUGAUCAAAGCAUGGACCGAACUUUAAUGCUUCAUUUCCAUGGAGAGAAUAGAAGAGCAAUGAAAUUAAAGAAAAGAAAGUAAUUUUUUCUCAUUCUAUUCAGACGAAGGGAAGAGAAAAUGGAAUUUUCUUCUUCCAAAAGUGACCAUUUUGGAAGAUUAAUUUCUCUUCAUUUCUCUUUCUUUCUCUCCUUAAGUUUUGAUCCACGAUAUAUAGUGACUACUUUUCUCUUCUAUUUAACUUUAGGGCUUGUUUGAUUCAUGCGUAAAAAUGAAAAAUAAAAUUUAACUGCUUUGGAACGGAAAAUAAAACAACGAAUCAUUCAAAAAUAUUUGGCUCAUUAAUUACUAGAAUGAAAUUGGAAUAAAAAUCAAGAAUUUUGAAAGAGGGUUUUGAUUAAGAGAGAAGAGAGUAAUGAACGGAAAAAAAGGAAAGGUGUUUGUGAGAGAGGAUUUUGAGUAGUUUACUUUGAAAUUCGCUAAUCCGAAAUUCAAAGUCAGAUUGAGUGAUAAAUGGAUCUAGCCAUUUUCAUUUCAAGGUGAAAUAGGAAUCGAAAUUUGAUUUCUAUAAAACAAAUAACAACUAUCGAAAUGAAAACCGAACACUUAUUUGAUAGAAUCUCUCUCUCUCUCUCUCUCAAAGAAGAUCACUUAUUGCAGUUGAAGUGGUUACUUAGUCAUGCACGUGGUAAAAUGCGUAGGUGUAGCGCAUCACUAUGUCAAAGAGCCUCUCCUUCUCCAUCCUCCUAGUCGUAGCUUAUGCCGCCCCAUGCUUAUCACAUGCUAAAGAUUAUUUGGGGGCGCCUAUUUAUGGAUAAAAUUAGACCUUUUAAAAGUAUUCUCAGCUUAAUUAUUUGGCGUGGGCAAUAACCAGUGCUUGGGAUCUUUAAUUAAUUAAUUUAUGUGCUUGCAUGUGCACAUAUACAUUACAAGUAAAUUCCAUGUGAUUGCAUGUGCACAUAUACAUUACAAGUACCAACGUGCUCGUAUGUAAUAGUGCGUUUGAUUAUUUAGAGACAUACAAGCUAAUGAAAUGAAAUGCGUCUUCAAAUGGUUAUAGAUACAAUAAUAAGCAACAACAUGCAGUGAAAGUAACAAUUAAUUCCAAAAGUUAUUUUCUAACAAGUUCAUUAAUAAGUUUUUAUUUAUUGGUCGAUCUAGGAUCAGGCAUGCAUGUAAAGUACGUACCACGUACAACAAGUUGCACCAUAAUGCAUGGCUCCACCCAACCUCAUGUAAAUAUCCAAUAUUUUAUUUUAUUUUUUUUUUGAUUUUCAAAAACUUAUAUUUUGUCCUCUUAAAAUUUUAAAAAUAUUUUUAGAGGAGUGGUCAAUAUUUGCAUACACUUAAGGGGAUGUUGAGUUGUCAUAUCCCAGUUGACUUAAGUGGUUGAUACUCGUGUUCCCUUACAGUUCGAUGACCUAUUGCUCAGUGUGGCCCAAGGGGCGGAGAUUGUCGGCCAUUUGCCGAUGGUUGGCUAUUAAUCAUAGUCGCAUCGAUCGCCACAGCUGACAGCAUUUCACGAGCACUAGCGGUCUGAUCCCCUGCGGGAGAGUGUUCUUUUCCGAAAAAGUGGUUAGUUGCCAACCUGUGAGCCCAGAAGUUUAUGCUAGGGUUAUAUGCCAAUUAGAGCGAUGUGGCAUUUGCAUGAGAUUCUUAGAUUGAUACGGCGGCAUAAAUUGGGUACAUUUGGACUUUUCGUCCGGUUGCUACUGUAGACUCUUCUUUACCUAUACUUGGUUACCAGUGAGUAUACUUGUCUUUGUCGACUUGUGGUACCCACUGGGAAGGAGAGAUGUGUUUACAUAUUCUCAUCCCCUACUAUUUUUUAGGUGACACAGAUGAGGUUGGUCGGGACGCAGCGUGAGGCCGUAGCUAGUGCACGGUCAUAGAGGUCUCAAUCUAUGGUAUAUGUUUUAAAUUACUUCAUAUAUAAUAUUGGACAUAUUUGUGAUAGUAUAGUUCACCCCUACACCUGUUAGUAGAUGAUAUAUGUGGUUCAGUUGAUACGUUAUACUUGCGAAUUUUUGGAUGAUGUAUUUAUGAGUUUUGGAUAUUGAUGAUUUUGAAAUUUUUGUAGCUUAGGUGCGUCGAUUGAGCAGGCGUUGUGGGUGGAGAGAGGAGAUGUAUCGGUCCAUGAGCGGGCUCAGGUGCCGGGUCAGAGUUAGGAUAGGAAGCGCCCGGUUCCAAACGAUGGAGGGCAGUCGAGCAGCAAGCGUCCGCCGGGGCCUCCACGAUCACGCACUCAGGGACAUGGGUUUUCGGGGCGACAACGUUCUGGGGGAUCUCGUCAGCCGAGACAGUCACAGGGGACUCCGCAGUGCGUGAUUUGUUGGGGACCACAUUGGCCUCGGACGUGUGAGCAGCGAGAGGACCGAUGCUUCAGUUGUGGACAGCCUGGACAUAUGAGAGCAGCUUGUUCCCGAGCAGCAUCAUCAGCACCUUCGGCGAUGUCAGCACAGCCGGCACCCCAGCAGUCCUUUGGAGCACAGCAGGACUCGAGUGGCAGAGUGUACGCAGCUCAGGUGGACUACAGCAGCCGAUCGGGUGGUGGCAGAUAUAAUUUUGAUUUCUGGUAUUAGAACUCAUACCUUAUUUGAUACUGGUACAUCACAUUCUUUUGUUAACCGAGCAUUUGCAUCAUUGUAUGGUCUAGAGUUAGGGCCGCUGUUAUAUGCACGAGAGGUGCAGAUUCCUGAUCAUGUGUUGCAUGUGGCGGAGUGUUGUUGGGCUUGUCCAGUGCAGUUGGGCCCUUGGAUUAUGCUUGCAGAUUUGUUGGUCUUAGGGCAGCUACAGGACUUCGAUGUUGUGCUUGGCAUGGAUUGGCUGGCGCGGUACUAUGCGACGAUUGACUAUGGAGCGAGGACAGUGACGUUCCACGAGCCAGGCCAGGAGGAGUUCACGUACAAAGGCUGUAGAAGUACGUUUAUUUUGAAAAUUUUUUGUAUUUGUGGCGGGUCUGUUACGUUCCUGAGUUAAGGUUUAUAAAAAAGAAAAGAUAAUUUUUUACUAACUCUAAUUUAUAAAAAUAACCCGAUGUUAAUUGGAUUUUAAAAAGGGCUCUCAGGACGUGACACCUCCAACGAGCCAUAGUUGGAGAUCUCCUGCUAAAGUCUUAUCCCAGAUUUAAGUAGAUGAUAAAACUUUACAAGGGCAUUUUAAAAUGUAAAUUGAUUGACACUAUCUACUGGCAAUUAGAUAAAAUGCAAAGGUUACAAAUUAAUUUAUUAAAUUAUUUUAAAAAUAAGACUUUGAAAUUUACGCGGUUUAGUGAUAGAUUACCAAAUUUAUAGUUGAGAUUGCUUCGAGUGGAGUGGCACUGAAUUUUAAGAAAAUGUGCAAUUUUGGAAUCAAUUUUCAACAAAACUCUCUCUUCUAUAAGCGGUAUAUAUAUAGAUAAUAUAUAAUAUCAGUUGAGUUAGAAUACUAUCGGUAGCAAAUAGGUUUUGCUGCUAUCGAUUUAUUUUCAAGAAUAAAAUCUCUAAAUUGACAAUCGGCACCGUGCAAUAUGAUCUACCCCAUUUAAAGUAUCUAGCAAUCAAAUUUUAAAUUGUUUCCUCAUCAGUUGACUCAAUUAUCAAAAUGUCGCGAAAUUUAUACUUUUACUAGUUGAUACGAGACAUUUUCUCGUUUAACGAUAUAAAGCAAUUCAAAUCAGAUAAAUUUUUGUUAGAAAAUUCUUCAAAUUAUUUAAAAUAGAAUCUACACUCUUGAUCUUGAUUGCAAUAAUUCUAUUAUUGUUUUUUGAAGGAUAUAUAUUUUCAACAGUUUAUUUUUGUGUCCAUUUGAUGCACAAAAAAAUAAUAUCAGAAAAAAUAAAAUUUAAUCUCUAGAUACUUUAAGUUGUUUAAAUGUAAUACACGGAAUUUUUGCAAUUGCGAAAUUCGAGUGUGAGCAAUGAAGUGUGGAGCUAUUCUACAUGUUCUAAAUGACUUGGACAAGUUUUUGAAUAAGUUAGAGAGUGCUUGGAAGGCUAGAAGCAUGAAAGUGCUUUACUCAGGCGAAAACCAGCUUUUUCUACUUGUUGUACCGGUACAGCCAUUAGCUUGUACCGGUACACAAUGCAGAAACGUGGCAGCUUAGGUAUUUUGGUAAUUUCACACUUGAUCUCUAUCCUUAAGGCCCCAGCUCGACCAGGGAUACUCAGUGGAGCCUGCUGGAGUUCAGAGGAGCUUUCUCCACCUUUUUUUUCUCUCUCUCUCUAGGGUUUUUCUCUCUCUACUUAGAAUUCGUCGUUUUGCGCCGUUUCCGCGCCGCGCUUGUUGCUCGCUGGUUUGGCGACUUAAAGGAGGCUUCCAGCACGUGGGAAAGAGGAGCUUUGCUGUGUUUCUAUGAGGUUACUGCUAGGGGAAGCUGAAUUUCAGUUUUAGAGAGGUAAUCAACUCGAUUUCUCUCUAGUUUCCGGUUUUAUAUUGAAUUUGGACAUCUUUUCGUGUUGGUGCUUCGAACUGGAUUAGGAGGUGUUUACAGCAGUAAAGAGGAGCUUUGUUGGCUGCUAGUUAUCCAUUUAAACUCUGUGGAACUUGCUUUAAAGCUUCAAAUGGCUAAUUAGUAAACUAUACCUCAAUUUCGGAACUAUAUGACGUUUACUUAGUCGAAUUGAUGCAAUUUGGAAUUUUUCUUCGCAGCAGGUCUUCGAGUCUCGUUGAGCUGAACUUGUACUCUUAGAAGCUGGUUUGGAAGGUAUUCUAACCUGAGGUAAGCAGGGAUUUCAGUUAGAAAACUGAAUUCGCAAGAUUUCGACUAUAUUUGCUAAUAUAUGAUGAUUUUGAUGUCGUGUUGGUGUUGAUCGCAGCGGGAGUUCGACCGACCUUUGCGUCAUCCUUGAUUGGCUUUGGGAAGCCUUUAGAGACUUAAUUGGAGGUACUAAAGUGAACCAAAACAGCGAUUUAUGUUACUACUUGAUACGAGAUGUGAAUUGAGCCGAAAUCGGACAUUUCGGCCGUAGAUUUAAUCCAAUCUUGACGUUUGUUUUUCAGCAGCAUUGGAGCUUCGUUGAGCCGAUUGUGGGACUUCUUGUGAAUAGUUGGAGCCUAGUACUAGGUGGGUUUGACCUAACCAGAGCAAGUGGAGCUCCCCUAUGUUCUAUAUGUAUCUACAGAAUAGAAUAAUCGCAUAGGUGCAUUGAGUGCAUAUGUGAUUGAUAGAGAAUUGGAAACAUAUCAUUGUGAUAUUUGAUGCUUAAGUAGAAUGAAAUCUCUAUAAAGUAGAGAACAUAUAUGCAUGAAAGUAUUUAUAUUCAUAUUCAAUUCAGUUGAAUGACUUAUGAACAAUAGAGAACAAUGACAUGCUCUUGACUCUAAAGUAGAGAACUAUGACUAUGUUGAUAGUGUCAUAAUAGUGGAAAGAUUAUAAUGCCAUGUGAUUUAGCAUUACCCUUACAUGUUUACAAUCUAGUGGAUACUAGUUCUUGUUACUAUUUGUGUAUUGAAAUUCCGAUCUGAGGAUCGAAGGUAAGAAUUGGCAAAUGAAAAUAUGAAAAUUGAGACACGUGGAUAAUGGACUUUGCUUGCUUGCCAUCGUGCUCAUUCGCACACGCUUGUGAGGGUAGCUCCCUACAAGCCGGCACUCCGGAGUUGGCCUACGCGACAGUUGCUCGCCCGUGCGGGAUUGGGUGCCGAAGUGGAUUGCCGUGGGGAGUGUAUACUACCACGGGGCCAUUAGGCGCGGCGCAAGCUGGACUACCUUGGGUAGGUCCCUGUGAAUGGAAGGAAAGUGCUUAGAAAUUUGGACAGUGAUGAAUGAUUACCAGUUACAGUGUACAGUAGUUACUUACACAUUUAUGCUUAUGUGCAUGCUUAUCAUAGUUGCUUUGCUUCUAUUAUUCAGUUGAUUCAUUACUGUUGAAGCCAUGAUUACAUGUUGCUUACAUGCUCAUUACCUGUUAGCAUUGCAUAAUUAUAUAUCUUGCAAUUACUGCUUUCGCUUUCAUUUAAUACAUCAUGAGCCUAGUGGUGUAAUUCGCCGAGGCUAGCGGCUUACCCACUGGGAACUAUUGUUUAUAGUUCUCACGCCCUUUUGGUGGUUGUUUUUACAGAGCCAUCUGCAGGAAAGGUUAGGGAUCGUGGCAAGGGAGUCACGUCUAGCUAGACUUUGCUAGGAGCGUGCUAGUCUAUCACCUUGCUACUCGGGCUACGGCCGAGGGUGAUGUCCAUUGUAUAGAGUGACUACCUUUGUACAGAUAUUUUUGUGUACCCUGUGUUGUAUAUGAGUUGUAGAUCCAGAUGUUUUAGUUCAUACUUCUUCUCCUUUUGCUGAGAUUUUGGAUUGUAUAAUCUUUGUUCAUUUACUGACAGUAUAUCGUCUUAUACAUUUCUCUGAUAUCAGGAUAGGACUCUCUUUGUUUUACUUCCUAUCGACUUGCUUUCUUGUAGACGCCUUAUAUACUGCAGGUGUAUGGCGGGUCUGUGCACGUGCCGGAUAUGCUUCCGCUGGUACCCGGGCGUGACAGAUUAUAGUGGUAUCAGAGCCUAGGGUUGAGUCUUCGUAGACCUAGCAAACCUUAGGCUGGUUGGACUAUAAGGAUAGGCUCGCGAGAGACGAUGUCUAGUUGAGGUUGUCGUUAGCGAAAGUACUUUGAUUGGGUACUUAUGAACUCCGAAUAGUAGGAGUUUGAUCGGGAUGUGCAAUUACUAACUUUGCAGAGGGUCACGUUGGCGGCCGACAACGUGACAUCGGAAGUUAGUACGCGUUACAUUUCAUUACUUUCGCUUGAUUAGNNNNNNNNNNNNNNNNNNNNNNNNNNNNNNNNNNNNNNNNNNNNNNNNNNNNNNNNNNNNNNNNNNNNNNNNNNNNNNNNNNNNNNNNNNNNNNNNNNNNNNNNNNNNNNNNNNNNNNNNNNNNNNNNNNNNNNNNNNNNNNNNNNNNNNNNNNNNNNNNNNNNNNNNNNNNNNNNNNNNNNNNNNNNNNNNNNNNNNNNNNNNNNNNNNNNNNNNNNNNNNNNNNNNNNNNNNNNNNNNNNNNNNNNNNNNNNNNNNNNNNNNNNNNNNNNNNNNNNNNNNNNNNNNNNNNNNNNNNNNNNNNNNNNNNNNNNNNNNNNNNNNNNNNNNNNNNNNNNNNNNNNNNNNNNNNNNNNNNNNNNNNNNNNNNNNNNNNNNNNNNNNNNNNNNNNNNNNNNNNNNNNNNNNNNNNNNNNNNNNNNNNNNNNNNNNNNNNNNNNNNNNNNNNNNNNNNNNNNNNNNNNNNNNNNNNNNNNNNNNNNNNNNNNNNNNNNNNNNNNNNNNNNNNNNNNNNNNNNNNNNNNNNNNNNNNNNNNNNNNNNNNNNNNNNNNNNNNNNNNNNNNNNNNNNNNNNNNNNNNNNNNNNNNNNNNNNNNNNNNNNNNNNNNNNNNNNNNNNNNNNNNNNNNNNNNNNNNNNNNNNNNNNNNNNNNNNNNNNNNNNNNNNNNNNNNNNNNNNNNNNNNNNNNNNNNNNNNNNNAUAUACAUGAAAGUAUUUAUAUUUAUAUUCAAUUCAGUUGAAUGAUUUAUGAACAAGUGUAGGAUGCACUUAUAAAGUAGAGAACAAUGACAUUCUCUUGACUCGACUCUAAAGUAGAGAACUAUGACAUGCUUAUGACUAUGUUGCUAGUGCCACAAUAGUGGAAAGAUUAUAAUGCCAUGUGAUUUAGCAUUACCCUUACAUGUUUACAAUCUAGUGGAUACUAGUUCUUGUUACUAUUUGUGUAUUGAAAUUCCGAUCUGAGGAUCGAAGGUAAGAAUUGGCAAAUGAAAAUAUGAAAAUUGAGACACGUGGAUAAUGGACUUUGCUUGCUUGCCAUCGUGCUCAUUCGCACACGCUUGUGAGGGUAGCUCCCUACAAGCCGGCACUCCGGAGUUGGCCUACGCGACAGUUGCUCGCCCGUGCGGGAUUGGGUGCCGAAGUGGAUUGCCGUGGGGAGUGUAUACUACCACGGGGCCAUUAGGCGAGGCACAAGCUGGACUACCUUGGGUAGGUCCCUGUGAAUGGAAGGAAAGUGCUUAGAAAUUUGGACAGUGAUAAAUGAUUACCAGUUACAGUGUACAGUAGUUACUUACACAUUUAUGCUUAUGUGCAUGCUUAUCAUAAUUGCUUUGCUUCUAUUAUUCAGUUGAUUCAUUACUGUUGAAGCCAUGAUUACAUGUUGCUUACAUGCUCAUUACCUGUUAGCAUUGUAUAAUUAUAUAUCUUGCAAUUACUGCUUUCACUUUCAUUUAAUACAUCAUGAGCCUAGUGGUGUAAUUCGCCGAGGCUGGCGGCUUAUCCACUGGGAACUAUUGUUUAUAGUUCUAACGCCCUUUUGGUGGUUGUUUUUAUAGAGCCAUCUGCAGGAAAGGCUAGGGAUCGUGGCAAGGGAGUCGCGUCUAGCUAGACUUUGCUAGGAGCGUGCUAGUCUAUCACCUUGCUACUCGGGCUACGGCCGAGGGUGAUGUCCAUUGUAUAGAGUGACUACCUUUGUACAGAUAUUUUUGUGUACCUUGUGUUGUAUAUGAGUUGUAGAUCCAGAUGUUUUAGUUCAUACUUCUUCUCCUUUUGCUGAGAUUUUGGAUUGUAUACUCUUUGUUCAUUUACUGACAGUAUUUCGUCUUAUACAUUGCUCUGAUAUCAGGAUAGGACUCUCUUUGUUUUACUUCCUAUCGACUUGCUUUCUUGUAGACGCCUUAUAUACUGCAGGUGUAUGGCGGGUCUGUGCACGUGCCGAAUAUGCUUCCGCUGGUACCCGGGCGUGACAGAUUAUAGUUGUUUAAAUCAUGUUCAACAAUUAAUAUCAAUCAUCAAUUCGGAGACUCUAUCAUCGAUAUAUAUAUUGGAUAAGUUAUCUAUGAUAAGUUAUUCUGGCAUCCAAACAGGGCCUUAGGCUCGAGUUCUAAUAGUUCUUAAUAAUUUUUCAUAGUUAAUAAUUAUUAAAAUUAACAGACAUCAAGAAGGAAUGAUUGAAAUAAUUAGGGAAAUUGCAUAUUACGUUCUCAAUCUUUAAUUUACUGCAAUUAAUUUGUUGCUCGAACUUUUAAAAUUAUUGCAAUCAAAUCCUAUAACUCAAUUUAGUUGACUAAAUAUUAAUAUAUCGUUAAUGUAGAGAUGACAUAAUAAUGUUAAAAAUGAUUAUGCGCAAAUAAUUAAGAUGUCACAUUAUUUUUAAUCAAUGAAGUAUUAAAUUUAGUCAACUAAAUUGAAUUUUAGGACUUGAUUGUAACAAUUUUAAAAAUUCGAACCAGAAAUUACAGCAUAUAAGUUUUAAGACUAUAGUGUUAACAACCUCAUAGUUUGAGUACCAAACGUGCAAUUUACCCAAAUAAUUAUUAAAGUUCAAAUAAUUUAGUUUGAUCUUCGAAUGUAUACUUUUCAAAGAACCAAGUUCUUGAUUAUUGUAUGUCAUUACCAAUAAUAGGGCGUCGAAAUUGACUAUGGAUGCCAUUUAAAAUGAUAUAUGGCAUGCGAAAUUCAUGAAAAUAAAUUUCAUAAUUUUUUAUAUUAUUCAUAUAUUAUGUAAGCAAUUCCAAAAUUAAAAACUUUCAUCAACAAUUGUAAGGUAAGGUAUAUUUAAAAUUAUUUGAUUACUAAAUAAACAAUAUCAUAAAAUGGUAAAAUUUUAGAAUUUAAGUUUAAAAACUUUACAUUUAAGUUUUUUUAAAAUUUAAAAUUUUUUAUUCUUUAAAAUUUAAAUUUAAAUUUAAAAUAUAAACUUUUGAAGUUUAAAAUUUAAAUCUUAAAAUUUGAAAUUGAAAUUUUAAUAUUUGAAAUUUAAUAUUUGAAUUUUUUAAUUUAAUUUAUAAUUUAAUAUUUAAAAUAUUAAAAUUUGAAAUUUAAAAGUUAAAACUUAAAAUUUAAAAAUUUUAUAUUUUAUCUUAAUUACUAAAACCAAAUUUUAAAAUAUUCAAAAUUUAAGAUUUAAAAUUUUUAAAUUCAAGUUAUAAAUUUAAUAUUUAAAAUAUUGUAAUUUGAAAUUUAAAAUUUAAAACUUACAAUAUAAAAAUUUUAUAUUUUAUCUUAAUUACUAAAACUAAAAUUUUUAAUUUUACAUAUUUUAACUUUAAAUUUUAGUUCCUAAAUUUUAAAAUUUUCAUUCUAUAUUCAAAUUUUGAAUUUUAAAAUUUAAAAUAUAAAAUCUAAUAUUUGAAACCUAAAAUUUUAAAUUUGAUAUUUGAUAUUUAAAAGUUAAAAAUAAUAUUUAAAAUCUAUGUCUGAAAUAUGUUUAUUUGAAAUUCAUUAAUUUAGAAUUUUAAAUCUGAAUGAUAGUUUAAAAUUCUACUAUAAAAGAAAAUUUUAAAUUUAAAUUUUAAAUCGAAAAUCAAACUGAGAUUUUAGGUUGCCGAUGUUGAUCCGCCGCGAAGCGCGGGCCCUAAACUAGUUUAACAUGAUAUGGAGGUAGUUCUCUUCUCCUCCUAUUUAAUUAUUCUACAUUUUGGGCCUCCUUUCAUUAAACUAUUUAAAAAUUUCUCUAGAUUAGGCACAUGUGAAACAAAGUGUUAAAUAUAAGUAUUAAAAAUAUCAUUCUCUCUGUUACGAUAAACACACAAACAAAAACGAAUAUGACGAAUAUGAAAUAAACAAACCACAGAAAUAAAAGAGAACACACAGAUUUACGUGAAAAACUCUUUGCAGGAAAAAACUACGGGCGAGAAAGGAGAGGACUUCACUAUCGAAAAAAAAGAAUAUAAUGUUCGAAGUACAACCAGCAUUAAUCUGUCGCCUCUAGGGCAAAAAUGAAAAAAAAAAAUUCUUAACGGGUUUUGGAUCCGAUCCGUAUAGUAGGGGGCUCUCCCCCUUCCCCCGGGGAAUGUCAAUGGUGGGUUACGGACUCGGGCCCGUAGCUACCCACCACAGGCAUUCAUUUUUUCCUUCACAAUUUUAUUUCAAAAGUCGCACCGCAACUACCGGCAAGUUGAAGUCCCGAACUAAAGUCGAUUAUCAAUUUCGACUCACAUCUAACACUCCCUUUAAUCUUUCAAUGGUUGUUUCAUAGUAAAUAAUGUUUAAAUGUGUCGAUUAUUUAUUCUGAUGAUCCUUCAUCGAAAUGCCUUGAAAGCUGAACUUAGUAUAAAGUAUUUUUAAUUCCUUUUUUCUUGCUCCAUAUAAAAUUUUCUCCUAAACGACAACCACUACUACAGUUUUAGUUUUUUAAGUAUGACAAUUCUAAAGCUGUCCAAAAUAUCCGAUAUACCAUACUCAACUCAGACCCUAUCCGGACCCGAUAAAAAAUGGAUAGUACACGGGUAAAAAAAAUUACCCAUUAAAAUUUUGGGUAUGAGUCUGGACUCAAUACCCAAGUUGGACCCAACCCGAACCCAACUAGAUAGAGGCUAGAAUCGUUUUCAAAUCCUGAUCUAGAUCCAAACCUAGACCCGAUAAAAUAUUCCAUAGUAAAGAAGAAAAAAAUUAAACUUUUGAAAUUGAAGGAUCAAUUUUAAUAGGAUUUACAGAUGAGGGGUCUCUAAGUAUUUUCAUCCUAGUGAAACACUGAAACCCUAAUCGCUCUUUUACUCUGUUCUUUUUAAUAAUCUUUUCUCUUUAUUUUUCACUCUUUAUUAUUUUAUUUUAUUUCUGCCUAAAAGUUUUUUAUAAAACAAUAUUUUCAUUGUCGUCAUCAUCAGCAAUAUUAAUUCUCUACGGGCAUGGAACAGGUGAGUUUUUCCUAAAUCCCUUUUCAAAUCAUAGUCGACAAACUAAUUUUUUUAAUAAAUAUUCUACGGCUAAUUUGCAUAAAAAAUCUAUUAGUUUUGAGUUUUUGCAAAAGUAAGUCGACUUUUUGAAUUUUGCAGAUACGGGCCGAAUUUUCAGAAAGAUGACCAAACUAUCCCUCUUUCAAAAUAUAUAAAAAUUAUAUGCUUUAAAUGCCUAGAAAAAUACAACUGCUAAGCCAUUAAGUGUGAAAUUUCUAGAAAAUGACAACUGCCAAGCCAUAAUAACAUAUAUAUAUAUCUUUCUCGUGAAACGAGAAUUAUCAUUCAAGAUAAAAUAAAAAGAAUAAAACAUAAUUAAUAAGAUGAAAGAAUACAACAUCCUCUCAAAUAGUACAACAUGCUCUUCCAAAUAGUGCAAUAUUUGUAUAAAUAGUGCAACAUAUGCAUUGCUAAUACAUUUUGUACAAUUUAGUAUAUUACGUGAAAAUAAUAUAAUAUAUUACAACAUACUAUAAAAAUUAUAGAAUAUAUGUACAAACGGUAUAUAUUUUAUACUAUUUGUACAUAUAUUUAUAAUAUUUGUGUAAACGUUGCACUAUUAUGAGAGGAUAUUGCACCAUUUAGAUGUGUGUUGUACUCUUUCUUUUUGAAAAUUAAAUUUCAUUGCAUAUUAAAUAAAGUGUCAAAUUUCUUGAAAGUGACAACUGCUAAGCCAUAGUUACAUAUACCUUUCUCGUGAAACGGAAAACCUGAUUCAAGACAAAAUAAAAAAAAUAAUGAAUAAUUAAGAUAAAAGAGUGCAACAUUCUCUCAAAUAGUGCAACAUGCUCUUCCAAAGAGUGCAAUAUAUGUAUAAGUAGUGCAACAUAUGCAUUAUUAAUACACAUUUUACAUGAUUUUUACACAAAAUUACAUACAGUUUAGUAUAUUACGCGAAAAUAAUAUAAUAUAUUAAUGUACAGUUUAGUAUAUUACGUGAUUUUUACAUGAUUUUUACACUAAAUUAUGUACAGUUUAGUAUAUUUUGCAUGAGUGGAUGUUGCACUCUUUCAUCUUAUUAAUUAUACUUUAUUCUUUUUAUUUUGUCUUAAAUGAGUUUCUUGUUUCACGAGAAAGGUACAUGUAAUUAUGGCUUAACAGUUGUCAUUUUUAAAAAAUUUUACACUUUAUUUAAUAUGCAAUGAAAUUUAAUUUUCAAAAAGAAAAAAUGCAACACACAUUUAAAUGGUGUAAUAUCCUCUCAUAAUAGUGCAAUGUUUAGACAAAUGGUAUAAAUAUUUAUACAAAUAAUAUAAAAUAUGUACCGUUUGUAUAUAUAUUAUAUAAUUUUUAUAGUAUGUUGUAAUAUAUUAUAUUAUUUUCGCGUAAUAUACUAAACUGUAGAUAAUUUAGUAUAAAAAUUAUGCAAAAUGUGUAUUAACAAUGCAUAUGUUGCACUAUUUAUACAGAUAUUGCACUAUUUAGAAGAGCAUAUUGCACUAUUUGAGUGAAUGUUGCACUCUUUCAUCUUAUUAAUUAUAUUUUAUUUUUUUUAUUUUGUCUUGAAUGAGAAUUCUCGUUUCACGAGAAAGUUAUUUGUAAUUAUGGCUUGACAGUUGUCAUUUUCGAGAAAUUUUACACUUAAUGAUUAGCAGUUGUAUUUUUUUAGGCAUUUAAAGUAUAUAAUUUUUGAAAGAUGGGUAGUUUGGUCAUCUUUCUGAAAAUUCGGUCCGAUUCUACAAAAUCUAAAAAGACGGUAUAGUUUUACAAAAGCUCAAAACUAAUAGAUUUUUUAUGCAAAUUGGCCAUAUUCUAUUUUUUAAAUUUUCUAAUUUCUUUUUUUUUAAUGUUAGUAUAUAAUAUUAGUAAUUACUGCAUCUUAUUCUCUUUAUCUACGAUAUGGUAUCACAAUUUUCUUGUUUUGUGCAUUUGCAUAUGAAAUUGUUUUGAAUUUUCGAUUUUUAAUUGGCCAAUAUAAUUGCCUAAACAAGCUCUUCCCAUACAAUUUAAUAAAAUGUAUAAAUAUAUAUAUAUAUAUAUACAAGCAUCCGUACCUGAUUUAGACUCCACCCGUAUCCGAUCUUGAAUGAGUAGUACACGGGUAGUCACUAUCCAGACCUACUCAAAUAGACCCGAUGGGUAUAUAAAUAAUUUAAGUACCCAGAUCCGGACCCAACCCGAGAUUGAAUGUGUAGAGUUUUUUUUUCUAACUAUUUUUUUAAAGUAUAGAUACAGUAUAUCAACUAUCCAAAUCCGAUCCAAUUCACGAAAACCUUUAGACAAUUCUUUUUAUGAACUUGAAUCCCUAGAGAUAUGCCUUAAUGGUGCGGGGAUGGGGAGGAUUGUCCCACGAAGACCGCAACAGGGGAGAUAUUCCCGAUUUACGAGAACAGGGCCGGGAUGGAAACAUUAUUAUAUAGUUAUUAAUGUAUUUAUAAAUAUAAAAUGCUAACUUCGAUGCAUGCAAUAGAUAUUAAAUUUAAUUAGAUAUACUUAAUAAUCUAACUGUACAUAAAAAGUAAACGUAAUAGUUAAAUAAAAUUUUGCCUUUUUGCAUAAAAAUACACCAAUUUUACAUUUUUGCGAAAUCGGGCUAAUAUUUUAAAUUUUACAAAUUCGGUUCAAAUUUUUAAUAAACUGAUUAAAAUGCCUUUAUUUUUUUUCUCUUUUUCUUAACGGAUAUAGCAUAUAAUCACAGAGGUUAACUUGCGGCGGAAUGCAUGACCGUGAAUGGUAACUACGAUGAGGGUACUGAUGGAUUUAAAAAUGAUGAGAAGUGAGAGUGCAUCAGGCUGGAGCAAAGGCUGCAGCAAAGGGCGAGGGAGGGAGGACAAUAGCGAAAAAGAUGCAAAGGGUGAAAAAAAGAAUAAAAAAAAAGAAUAAAAAAAAAAUUUUUUUCUCCUGAGAAUACUAUUAUGUGUAGUUGCUGCUACAGAAAAGGCCACAAUCAGUGAGAAAAAAGGAAAAAGAUAAAGUUGUACUAUACAGUUUGAGACGAAUGUUGCACUCAAAGUUGUACUCAUUAAAAAAAAAAAUUAUAUUGUUUGAGACAAAAGUUACACUCUUUGAGACAAAAAUCAUACUGCUUGAACGAAAAUUGCACUGUUUGAGAAAAAAUUAUACUAUUUGCAAAAAGUUGCACUCUUUAGGUAGAAAUUAUGCUUUUUGAACGAAAGUUGUACUUUUUGAAAAAAUUAUAUUAUUUAAAACUAUUUGAGACUAAAUUACAUCAUAGAAUGUAAAAGUUGUACUUUUUUAGACUAAAUAAAAGUGUCCGUGGAGCUUGUGGGAUCUCGGUAGUUGAUAUAUAGAAGUUAUACUUUUUUAGACUAAAUAAAUAUAUGCGUGAAUUGGGUCGGGUUUGAGUAGUUGAUAUAUUAUACUAGCACCCUAAAAAGAAAUGGGUAGGAAGGCAAAUUUAUGUCAUACCUAUUUAACUUGGGGUCUAAUUCGAGUCUAGAUAUUUAAGAUACUAAUACCCAUCGGUCUAGUUGAGUAGUUCUGGAUAGUGACUAUCCACAUACUAUUCACUUAAGAUUGGGUACAGGUCGCAUCUAGAUUGGGUAUGAAUACCCGUAUGCACAUGUUUUUUAUAGACUAUUAACCAUGUGACGCCCCAACUUCCCAAUAGGUCACCCAUUUUAGAAUUACUUCCAUCCUAGCACACUCAACUCUUUUAACUUCUUAGACCUAGCUAUCGUUCAAAAUGCUUAAAUCAGGUUAAAAAAUUAUUAUUAUUAUAUCUUAUAUAUAGAACUAUCUUGAGUCUCACAUUCUCCCUCUCUCAAGCCCUGAAGUUCUCGUUAAACUCAAACUCACAAGUAUUAGGCCGUUAAGCUCACAUUCACAAGUAUUAGGUGAUGUAAGACUCGUCUCGCUAGUCUAAACCGACCUUAUGGUGAGUUGCGCUCCACCCACACCAGUCAACUGUAUAAGAGUCUCGCUCUCCCCGCUGUAUAAUUCUGGCUCGGCCUAGACUCAUCUUAAACUUCCGACUAGUAAUUAGCUUUGAUACCAAUUGUGAUGCCCUAACUUAAUUCCCAGGGGGUCACACAUCCAAUGACUACUCCCGUCCUAACACGCUUAACUUUCUUAACCUCUUGGACCUAGCCACAGCUCAAAAUGUUUAAGCCGGAUUAAAAGUUUAGCCAUAUUAUAUCUUAUUUAUAGGAUUAUUUGGAGUCUCACAAAAUAAUCUUUGGAUAAACCAUAAAUCUCUCACUAUAGAAAUUAACCUCGUGUUCUAAUGAGUUACACCUAGUCAGAGGGAUCAAAAAGGCAAAAAGAGUGGCUAGGGUUUGAUUUUAUUUAUUUAUUUAUUUAUUCUACUCCUUUCCUUAACUCCAGCAAUAAACAAGGAUCUAUUUAGAGUGGAAUAUUCAAGCAAUAAACAGAGCGGCUGGGGUUAAAAGAAAUAAAGAGUAAAAAAAAAAAUAAAUAAAUAAACAUAGCAGCUAGUUUCACUAGAAUGAAAAUACAUAGAGACCCCUUAUCUAUAAAUCCUAUUGAAAUUGAUUCACCAACUUUAAAUUUUUUUUAUUUAUUAUUGAAUAUUUUACUAGGUCCGGAUCCGGAUUCGGAUUUGAAAACUAUUCUAAACCUACCUAUUAAAUGAUCAGUUUCGGAUGAGGUCCAAGUCAGGUAUGGUUUCAGAUCCAUACUCAAAACUUUAAUGAAUUCUUUUUACCCGUAUACUAUCUAUUUUUUAUCAAAUCUAUUUUUUUUUUAUACAAGAAGUAACGGUGAUUUGGUGAUUUUGUCCUCUCGAUUAGUACCGUAUUUCUCCGAAAAUAUUUCUGAAAUAUUUAUGAAAUUUUAAAUAGCAAAAUAUAAGUUUCUAAAAGUUAUCAAAAAAAAUUAAAAAGUUAAAUAUUUAUAGAAAAAAUUUCUAUAAUUUUAGUAAAAAAUAUAUUUAAUUUAUUUUUAAAAAUGUGUAGAACUUUCGUAGGAUGGUGAUCUUAAAAACCCGCGAAAAAGGGCGUCAGCCAAGGGGCCCCGCUCUGUUGCAAUCCUUAUAUUUUCUACUCCUUCUGACGUGGCAGACUGGCACACUAGGCCGCCACAGUCAGUCAGUCUAGGGCCUUUCGGGCUUUCAAACCGUACGCUUCGAGAAGGCCCGAACCCGCAUAGAUGCUUCAUUCCCGACAAGGACACAUUGAUUAAGAAUCAAUAGAAAACUAAAUCAACCGCAUCAGUGCUUAAGCCUACCCCAAAUUGUACCCCUGCAUGUGUCCCCUGCUUCAAUUCAUUCUAAUUCGGAGAAAAGCAAAGAGAUUCGAUACCAUCUCAAUUACUUUGACGCCGAUUCAAUUCACCGCUCAAUCACUUGUCGUGAACUUCUAUUUUAGUCUAUUGAACAGAGUUGGUAAGCUAUUAUUAAUUUGUGACGAGAAAAAUAGAAAAAAAUAAUUGAUUAUUUAAACUUUAGACUGAAUUUAUAUAACAUCUUGAACUUUGAACUUCGGUGUUUAUAAAAACGUGAGAAAUAUAUUUUUAUUAUAAUAGAAUAAAGAGUUCAAAGUGGGUGGUCAAUUAUGACAAAAAUAAGAAGAUCAAAAAACAUCUGAUGUAUAUAGUAUUACCGUUUAAAAAUAAAAAAUAAAAAAAUGCAGGCGCAAACGCCAAACAAGGCUCGAAUUUUUUUUUUUUUUUUUUUGAACUUCGAGCACUGAACCGUGAGCAGGCGAAAGCUCACAUGCAUGGUGUGGUGAGCUUCCACUCUUGAAAUAAGAGUAUUUGGUGAGCUUCCACUCUUGAAAUAAGUAUUUAACCAGAUAACUGCUGUACCUUGGGUAUGCUAUUUGGUGCGCCUAACACUAGCUACUAAUUUUGCCAACGCGCACAAUUUUGCGUUUGAAGUCGUAGAGAUUCACGUGGGGUCGCGCACAUUUCUGUGUUUGAAGUCGUAGAGAAUUACGUGGGGUCACAAUUAUACAUACGUGUGUGUAUAUAUAUAUAUAUACAUUUCUGUGUUUGAAGUCUUAGAGAAUUACGUGGGGUCACAAUUAUACUUAUGUGUGUGUGUAUAUAUAUAUACAUUUCUGUGUUUGAAGUCGUAGAGAAUUACGUGGGGUCACAAUUAUACAUACGUGUGUGUAUAUAUAUAUACAUUUCUGUGUUUGAAGUCGUAGAGAAUUACGUGGGGUCACAAUUAUACAUAUGUGUGUGUGUAUAUAUAUNCAAUUGUGAUGCCCUAACUUAAUUCCCAGGGGGUCACACAUCCAAUGACUACUCCCAUCCUAACACGCUUAACUCUCUUAACCUCUUGGACCUAGCCACAGCUUAAAAUGUUUAAGCCGGAUUAAAAGUUUAGCCAUAUUAUAUCUUAUUUAUAGGAUUAUUUGGAGUCUCACAAAAUAAUCUAUGGAUAAACCAUAAAUCUCUCACUAUAGAAAUUAACCUCGUGUUCUAAUGAGUUACACCUAGUCAGAGGGAUCAGAAAGGCAAAAAGAGUGGCUAGGGUUUGAUUUUAUUUAUUUAUUUAUUUAUUUUACUCCUUUCCUUAACUCCAGCAAUAAACAAGGAUCUAUUUAGAGUGGAAUAUUCAAGCAAUAAACAGAGCGGCUGGGGUUAAAAGAAAUAAAGAGUAAAAAAAAGAAAAAAUAAAUAAACAUAGCAGCUAGUUUCACUAGAAUGAAAAUACAUAGAGACUCCUCAUCUAUAAAUCCUAUUGAAAUUGAUUCACCAACUUUAUUUUUUUUUAUUUAUUAUUGGAUAUUUUACCGGGUCGGAAUCCGAGUUCGGAUUUGAAAACUAUUCUAAACCUACCUAUUAAAUGAUCAGUUUCGGAUGAGGUCCAAGUUAGGUAUGGUCUCAGAUCCAUACCCAAAACUUUAAUGAAUUUUUUUUACCCGUAUACUAUCUAUUUUUUAUCAGAUUUAUUUUUUUUUAUACAAGAAGUAAAGGUGAUUUGGUGAUUUUGUCCUCUCGAUUAGUACCGUAUUUCUUCGAAAAUAUUUAUGAAAUUUUAAAUAGCAAAAUAUAAGUUGCUAAAAGUUAUCAAAAAAAAUUAAAAAAUUAAAUAUUUAUAGAAAAAAUUUCUAUAAUUUAACUAAAAAAUAUCUUUAAUUUAUUUUUAAAAAUGUGUAGAACUUUCGUAGGAUGGUGAUCUUAAAAACCCGCGAAAACGGCGUCAGCCAAGGGGCCCCGCUCUGUUGCAAUCCUUAUAUUUUCUACUCCUUCUGACGUGGCAGACUGGCACACUAGGCCGCCACAGUCAGUCAGUCUAGAGCCUUUCGGGCUUUCAAACCGUACGCUUCGAGAAGGCCCGAACCCGCAUGGAUGCUUCAUUCCCGACAAGGACACAUUGAUUAAGAAUCAAUAGAAAACUAAACCAACCGCAUCAGUGCUUAAGCCUACCCCAAAUUGUACCCCUGCAUGUGUCCCCUGCUUCAAUUCAUUCUAAUUCGGAGAAAAGCAAAGAGAUUCGAUACCAUCUCAAUUACUUUGACGCCGAUUCAAUUCACCGCUCAAUCACUUGUCGUGAACUUCUAUUUUAGUUUAUUGAACAGAGUUGGUAAGCUAUUAUUAAUUUGUGACGAGAAAAAUAGAAAAAAAUAAUUGAUUAUUUAAACUUUAUAUAACAUCUUGAACUUUGAACUUCGGUGUUUAUGAAAAACGUGAGAAAUAUAUUUUUAUUAUAAUAGAAUAAAGAGUUCAAAGUGGGUGGUCAAUUACGACAAAAAUAAGAAGAUCAAAAAAACAUCUAAUGUAUAUAGUAUUACCGUUUAAAAAUAAAAAAUAAAAAAAUGCAGGCGCAAACGCCAAACAAGGCUCGAAUUUUUUUUUUUUUUUUUUUUUUGAACUUCGAGCACUGAACCGUGAGCAGGCGAAAGCUCACAUGCAUGAUGUGGUGAGCUUCCACUCUUGAAAUAAGAGUAUUUGGUGAGCUUCCACUCUUGAAAUAAGUAUUUAACCAGAUAACUGCUGUACCUUGGGUACGCUAUUUGGUGCGCCUAACACUAGCUACUAAUUUUGCCAACGCGCACAAUUUUGCGUUUGAAGUCGUAGAGAUUCACGUGGCGUCGCGCACAUUUCUGUGUUUGAAGUCGUAGAGAAAAUUACCUGGUGUCACAAUUAUAUGUGUGUGUGUGUGUGCGCGCGCGCGCGCGCGCGCGUGUGUGUAUACAUGUGUGUGUGUGUUUGUGCGCGCGCGCGCGCGUGUGUGUAUACAUGUGUGUGUGUGUGUGUGUGUGUGUGUGUGUGUACAUUUCUAUGUUUGAAGUCGUAGAGAAUUACCUGGGGUCACAAUUAUACAUACGUGUGUGUGUAUAUAUAUAUACAUACAUAUAUAUAUAUAUAUAUAUAUAUAUAUAUAUUAUAUAUUAAUAUAUAUAUAUAGUCCGGCAUAUGGUGCUUGUAAAAGUACCAAGCAUUUAGUGUUUGUAAGUUUUUUACCGUUAGAUCUACGCCUUUAAUCAUUUUUACCAGUUAGAUUAUACUAUUCAAUCAACUAACCAUUCAACCUAGGACGGUCCACAUCAUCCUAACCGCACAUCCUUAAUCCAAGGGCCGAAACCUUACAAGCAAAAAAAAACUUGACUACUUUAAAAAUAUAGGAGCUCAAUUCUAUUAUAUAUAUUAUAUAUAUAUAUAUAUAUAGAGAGAGAGAGAGAGAGGAGAGAGAGAGAGUAGGCUGCUAGACUAUCAGUAGCACGGACGCUUCGUGCUACCAAGUGUUUCAUGAUGCUACUUCCAAAUCGACGAGGCGGCUCCGUUAGACUUGAUCUACACUAUUGAAAGUAUUCGGAACUAAAUUCUCAUUUUUUCGGUAUAUUAUUAUCAAACGAGUAGUCUAAAUAAAUGGCUAAAAUAAAAUUCAUAAAAAAUGAUGAUAGAAGACUUGAAUUUAAGAUCAGAGAUAGAUCUUACUAUAAAUAGUAAAAGAAAUUUUCUAUAAAAAUUUUAUCUGAUUUGAAUUGGUUUUACAUCUGUAAAUUUAUAAAUAAUCACAUCUACCAUUAAAAUUGUUAAUUUGAGACUUAUCAUUAGCCAAAUGCAUGAUGUCUAAAAAUUCAAAUUUAGUUUCCAAAUACUUCAAUAGUGUAAAUAAGUCUAACGGAACAGACAUCGACUUUGAAGACGCGAAUCAGCGAACAAACUUGUAGCACGGAAGCCUCCGUGCUGACGAUAGUAUAGCAGCCGGACUUAUAUAUAUAUAUAUAGAGUUGAGCUAGAAUUACUCUCGAGAGUAAACGAGCCCCGUUUACUCUCGAGUUGUUUUCGAUGAUAGAGCUUCCAAAUGACAUCGGUCCGGUUGAACAUGAUUUAUACCACUUGAAGUGUUUAGAAAUAAAUUUCAAAUCUUUUCGACAUUAUUUGCCUAAUGGAUCAAAGGGUUUCAAAAUUUGUUAAUUUUAAUGGUGGAUAAGAGACGUUUUCUCGUUUAACGUGUAAAUAUCCAAAUUAAUUGAAUUUGUUUAGAAAAUUCUUUAAACUAUUUAAAACAAGAUCUAUACUCUUGAUCUUGAAUUACAAGAUCCUUAUCAUCAUUUUUUAAAAAUAUUCAUUUCAGCCAUUCAUUUUUUCUGUUCACUAGAUGGAUAUAAAACAUAUCGAAAGUGCGUGAAAUCUGAUUUCUAUGUAGUUUAAAGGUUUAGAUAUAUUAACGAGGCCGACGUCAAUUUUGAAGCUCUAUCAUCGAAAACAACUCGAGAGUAAACGGGCUCGUUUACUCUCGAGAGUAUUCUAGCUCAACUCUCCUCUCUCUCUCUCUCUCUCUCUCUACUAUAAUAUAUAAUAUUAUAAUAUAUAUAUAUAUAUAUAUAUAUAUAUAUAUAUGAAUUGAGCUCCUAUACUUUUAAAAGUACCAAGUUAGUGGUGCUUGUAGAUUUUUAGCCAGAUUAAUGGUUGUACGGUUAGAAUAAAGUGGGCCCCCUAGGAUUGAGUGGUUGGUUGGUUAAAUAGUAUAAUCUAAUUGUUGAAAAUGAUCAAAGGCGUAGAUCUAAUGGGAAAAAAUUUACAAGUACCAAAUGCUUGGUGCUUUUACAAGUACCAUAGCCGGACUCUAUAUAUAUAUAUAUAUAUAUAUAUAUAUAUUCAGGAUUCUAUUGCAAAGUGAAGCAGGAUUUAUUAGUACAUUAAGCGAAAAUAUGAGAAAACAUUUUACUGAUGAUACAANNNNNNNNNAUAUAUAUACUUCUCUUCAUUUUCUUUUUAUUAUUAGUACUACUUGGACCAGGGCCCCCGCAGACCACUCUCCCCCACCACGCGGACAACUGUCACUCUCCCAUGAGCCCAUCUUCUUCCCACGCGUCUUCUCACGAAUCACAUAUAAAUGUCGCUCGAUCUCAUCCUAAUUAGAUUCCAACACUAAUAUCUCUCUCUCUCUCUCUCUCUCUCUCUCUCUCUCUCCACCACCACCACCACCACUCCAUAUAUCAUCCUCUUUUACCCACUCGGAUAUUCGAACUCGGUCGAAAGAAGCGGAAUUUGAUGACGAAAUCAGCGGCGGAGGAGGCGGCGGCGGCGGCGGCGGAGAGAAGGUAUAAGGGGGUGCGGCGGCGCAAGUGGGGGAAGUUCGUGUCGGAGAUCCGGCUGCCCAACAGUCGGAACCGGAUAUGGCUCGGCUCCUACGACACGCCGGAGAAGGCGGCCCGCGCUUUCGACGCCGCCGCCGUCUGCCUCCGCGGGCCCCUAGGCAGCGGCCGGCUCAACUUCCCCGACUCCCCCCCGCAGCUCUCCUCCUCCGCCACCGCCGCCAUGACCCACCAGCAGAUUCGCGAGGCGGCUGCCAGCCACGCCAACCGCGCCGCCCGCGCCACAACUCAACAGCAGCAGACGGCGGCGGCAGAGUCGCCGUCGACGGAGGAGGCGUCGGACGGGAUGACGCCGGAGAGCGAGGAGGCGGUAGACUGGUCGUACAUGGAUUUGAUAUCGCCGGUCGGCGCGAAGGCUGCGGCGAAAACUGCAGCUGCGGCUGCGGCUGCGGCGGCGGCGGCGCUUCGGAUUCCGGGUCGAUUCUUUGGAGCUUCUAAUUAAGAGAGAAGCCACAACAAUUCAUUCGUUAAAAUUUAUUUAUUAUUUAUUCGUUCAUUCGUUCAUUCGUUCAUUCAAUUACAUACUCAAGAGAGAGAGGGCUCGGCAAGUUUUUGUUUGCCCAAUACUUCUCUCCGGCACAUCGCCGGGAUUUUUGAGUUCCUCAGCGACGUUGCCUCUUUUUUUUCUUUUCUUUUCUUUUCUUUUUUUUUUUUUUUUUUUUUUCCAACAUGAUUGGCUAAGAGAUUCAUUAAUUAAUUUGUUCUUUGUAUUAGACACGUGGUAUAAGGACUUUAUAUUUUUUUAUUAAAUAAAUAAAUAGUAAACAUCACGUGGUUGUCAUUUUGUGAGUUUUUGGUCCCUGCAAUAAUUGCUUUUUGUUCACCCCUGUAACAACUGCACGAGUGUGCAGGACACUUGUCAACAAAAUAAUAUUUAAAGAUUCAAUAUAUCGCAAUUUAAUAUUUGGAUCGCUUAACAGAGAUUAGUAGAGAGCGACUUUUAGAAUUAAUUAAUUAUUGACGAGAGAAUUAUGGGGUACGUUUAACCUUAUCGCAUUUGAGUUAAUUACCGUAUUGGUUGGGAUUUUAUCUCUCUUUCUACACAUAAGAUAGAAAUAAGAUGUAAUAUUAUCUUUUUUAUGUUGUUUUCUUCAUACUUGAAUUACUUAUUCCUUCCCAUGUGAUAAGAAUGAGGACUAUUGGUGCAGAAACUCUUAUUAUAUAUUGUCAAACCUCUUAAUAUCUUUUCUUAAUUAUAUUACUAAUGUCGUUAAUUUUCAUAAUUUAUUCUACAUUAUUAUUUAGUUGAAUCUUCAAAAAUAUGUUACCAACUACUGUUACAUCACUUAAGUAAGGUAUAUAUAUAAGAGCAUGGAAGGAUUAAGUAAUUCAAGUUUUGAACAACAAGUAGCAAUCAAUAAGAUGGAAGAUCCAAAAAUUGAAGUCACGAAAAAAUAAAUUACAGGAGUCAAGCUCUCCAACACGAGAAGCUAUGCAUGAGAUGAAGGAUCCAGAGAUAGGAAUGGAGUUUGAAAAUUAAGAUAGAGCAUAUGAAUAUUGCAUGCAAUUGAUAUGUUUGAAAAUAUUAGAUAGAUUGGUCUUCCACAAAUGUUAUACGAGCGAUCGAUAUGGUUCGUAUGGUCACGAGUGGCUUAGAUCUUGCGAGAAGAUCGAAGAGGUGACUUGUGUGGCCAUGACAUAGAGAAAGGGAGCUAGAUGAAAGGGCUUCUAAUAGUCCUAUGUAUGGAGAAAGAGAGAGAUAAAAGUUAGUGGAGGUAGGAUUAAAUCACAUAAUUCUCUCAUCAAUAAUUAAUUAAUUUUCCUAAUUAAUUAUUCUACAUGUCACCCUCCAUUAGUCUAUAUUAAGUGAUCCAUGUGGCAAGUUGUGAUUGGAUCUUCAAAUAUUAUUUUGUUGGGGUGCCUUACACCAAAGCCAAACUCGUAUAGUAUUUCUAAUUAUUUCUAAAUCCGGCUCCUAUAAAUCAAAUUAUUAUUAAUAUUGUAUUACUAUAAGCAAAAUUGUAGUAUGAAGUGAUGGUUGGCACUUCUAUAGAGUGCCGAACUGAGGUGGAGCUAUUUUGACGCGAAAAUGGACCACCCUGGAGACUAAACUCAGUUUAAUCUGUGUUUUUGAGCUUUCCGGAUGCUCAGGUGUGAUCUACGGCCCUCGGAGGUGGCGAGCUAUGGAGCAAGGGAUCCAGAUGGUGAUUCCGAAUGCCCGACAUUACUGCAGAUGGACUCGGGGUGUUGAGGUUGUCAGAUCCUUGACGCUAACCAUUAAUCCCAAAAACUCGAGCUGUUAGAAAUACGCAAUCAAUUCAUUUAAAGCGUAUAGAUGCCGCAUCCACGAGUCUCGAUUCCGGCUUGGUUUAACCAGUCUUACGUCACUUCGAACAUGACUCGGCCCAACAUGGCCUCCCUCCACAGGGUAGAAUGCUGAUUCCUUUAAGCCAACAAUCCCUCCUCCGGUACCUAUACAAAUUCGUAGCAUGCGAGAAUCAAACUCAUAACCUCUGGCUCUAAUACCACUUGUCGGAUCAUUGGUGCUAAUCAUUAAUCCCAAAAGUUCGAGCUGUUAGACAUACACAGCUAAUUCACUUAAAACAUGCAUAAAUAAUGCCCACGGGUCUUGAUGUUGACUCAGCCCAAUUGCCUCACACCACUUUGAAAAUGACUUAGCCCAAUCCAGCCCUUCGCCAUUUCGAACAUAACUCGGCCCAACUCCGCCUCCCGCCGCCACAAGGUAGAAUGCUAGCCCCUCUAAGCCAACAGAGGUCACCACUUACCCAUUCUUACGGUGCCUAGAAAUUGCUGUACGUAGUAGUCUAUCUGGAAGUGUGAUGGUGAUCGAGUCGGUAAGUGGUGAACUGGUGACACAGCAAGUGACUUAGCAGGGGAUAUAUUUGGGCACGGGAUUCUUCGGAUGCCUGAAAGUACUGCGCAGGCGCAACUCCGAUAGUUUCAAGUGGGCCAUUGCAUGUUGUGAGUGCCCAAAUGCCUUCGGCUACGAGGUUACGUACGCACGAAAGUGGUCCUGACUCCUGAGCACUCACUCGAACCUAGUGUUUUUGGCCUAAGGCUAAUUUCUGACAAUUGGAGGGCUUAUCUGCUAUUUUUCUCAGCCUAUAAAUAGUCUAGGGUGCUGUUAUUUUCCCUUUUUAUCCCUGUUGAUCUGAACACUUUUCCUUUUUUACUUCUUUCUCCAUUGAGCUUCAAUAAGCAUUUUGGACACAGCUUGAGGUCAGCCCAGGAGGUGGAUUCCUUUCCAACUGGGGUCUUGUGGAUGGUCUGGGAGGUACGCGUAGCUGAGUGGAGAAGAUCCUGUAGAGUGGGGAAGAGAAGAACUUGAGGGGUAAUUUUUCAAAGCUAAUACUAGAGGUAAGUAGAACAUGAGUUAGUUUAUAGUGUAAAUUGGGAAUUGAUCUGAUUAGGAUUUUGGGCUAUAGCAGUGAUUUUGUCCAUCAUGUUGAGAGCUGCGGAUUUGAGUGUGGAUUUUUUUGGUUGAGUUUUGCUAUUGGUGUUGUAGAGGAUGUCCAUGCUGGAGUGUUUCUUUUCUCUACGUACCCUUUUCGGAGCAAUUCUAGGUGGGUUCCACACCGCCAAAAAUGAUGGACUCAACCCUAUGUCUUCAUUUGGAUAAUAUAUAGGUAUCGAAAUAUCUGGUAGCUUUGCUAUAGUGGCAGGAGGAGGACACUUAAUUGAGCAUGAUCUUGUUAAUUGAACACUCUAUCAGCAUGUUUGAGUAUUUGUAGAUAUUUGAUAUUCCUACUGCUUGAGAUCAUGUUUUAUAUAUAUUAAUUGUGAGCUAUUUUAUAUGAAAAUUGAGAAAAAAACGCCACAGGACAAUGUGGCAGUAUUGGACAGUGGAUAGUCAUAUUCGGUAAUAUACUAGAUUAUUGUGCUAGAGGACAUCUGGAUAAUAUUAUUAUCAUUUUGUUAAUCAUCAUAUUUGACUAUAGCCUGCAUGAGAUACAUUGAGUUCGACAGAAAUAUGUGAUAUGAUACUCAAUCAAGUGCCCCUCCGAAGGCUAGUAUUGACAAAGAUGAGCUAGGUACCCUGCAUGUUGACGGACCACCUAUGGGUGUGGGGACCGAGCAUGAGGAGGGCACAGAAUUGACCCGACUUAUAAGUCAAUCAAUGUGAUUGAGUUAUAUAGCAUUGUUUCAUUCAGUUAUCUAGUUGAUGAAUAUGAUAUUUGAUUUAUAGCUUUCAAUAGUAGCAUUGAGACAUAAUAAUGAUAGUUUAUUUCCAACUUUAUUCUCAUUUUAUUAUUAUUGUUGUGGUGUAGGUCGUUAUCGUCGUCGACUGUACCUAUUAGGAACUGCUAUUUAGUAAUUCUCGCGCCCUCUGUUUAUUCAUUUUUGUUUUAGAACUCUUAAUGCCAACCUUUGAUCGAGAUAAUUAAAGGGAAUGCGAGCAAGAUAGCAUCUUCUAUCUGAAUGUAAAUGUGCCAGAGGAGGACCGCCAAUGUAUAUUUUUGUAUAUAGCAGACUGUACAUGUAUUUUACUUGCGAGGCCAGUUAAUUGGUUGAUGAUUGUAUAGAUACAGUUUGAUUUUGAAAAGUAUGGAUGUGAUAUGUAUUGUUAUUGCUAUACUUUAUAGAUGUUCAUAGACUCUGAUAUAUAGUUAUAUGAUACAUACUCCUAUUACUUGUGUUUGAGACCUGUUGUUUGUGGAUGCUUCAUAUGUAUCAGGUACACAGGUAAGUUCAUUAUAUUUGAUUCGUCUUAUAGAUUUUAGUAAUCCUUAUAGUAAAAUUUAUAUUAUUUUUAAAAUAUCCUUACACUCAUAUGUAAAUUUUAAAUUCAAGCUCAAAUUUAAAUUCAAAAUUUUGAAUUUAAAUUUAAUAUCGGUUCAAAUUUAAAUUAAAGUUAAGAUUUUGAGUUCGAACUUUAAAUUCAAAUUUUGAAUUUGAAUUCAAAUAUCAAAUUCGAAUUCAGAUUUCAAACUAGAAUUUCAAUUCCAAUUAAGAUUUGUAAUUCAGAGUUGAAAUUCAAAUUCUUUAUUUUGAAUUCAAAUUUCAUAUUCAUAUUCUGAUUUUGGACUGGAAACUUAAAUUCAAAUUUAGUUUUUGGAAUUCAAGUUCAAAUUUUUGAAGAAUUAAAAUUUAAAAUUCAAAUUUAUUCAAAUUCCAAAUUCAAAUUUAGAUUUUGAUCUCACAUUUCAAUUCCAGUUUAGAUUUUUAUUCCAAAUUUUAGUUUUAAAUUUACAUUUUGAGUUUAAAUUUUAAAUUCAACUUUAGAAUUUGAAUUUAAAUUUCAAAUUAAAUUCAAGAAAUUUUAUAUUCAAAUUAGAAUCCAAAAUUCAAAUUCCAAUCAAAAUUAAAAUUUUGAGUUCAAACUUAAAUAUUUUAAUUAAAAUUUUGAGUCCUAAUCUGAAAUAAAAAAAAAUUAUAUGAUUCCUAUUGGCCAAUUUGCAUAAAAAAUUCACAAGUUUUGAAUUUUUGCAAAAUUGGGCUGCUUUUUUCUAUUUUGCAGAUUCAGCCCGAAUUUUUAGUAAACUGACCAAAAUACCCUUAUACUUUUUUCUCUCUCCUUUUUUUUUUUUCUCGCGUUCUUUUUUUUUUUCUCGCCGAAGAAGGCGACGGAGGCGAAGGCGGAAACGCCCCCAUCGUCUCUACCCCUCACGCCCUCACUCUCGCCUGCACACCCCUCGCCCUACUUGCCUCCGACCCCGCCGUGGUCGCGCUGCGACUCACUUUUUUUUUUUCUCUCUUCGACCCUCCUCCAUCGCCUCCGCGGCCCUCCACAACGAUAACGAGGACGGUAACGCGUCCUCUUCCUCCGCCUUCGCCCUCUACCUCCACUGCAGUGAAUUUUCUACCUGCUAAACAAACCCGUCGUCCCCACUACCACCACUGACGACGAAGAGGAAAUGCUUUUCGGGGCCGAGAAGCACGCCAGCGAGAGAGAGGGAGAAAAAUAGUUACACUCCGGCGAGAACGAAUUUUGCACCCACCGAACCCACUUUUGUGAACCCGCGUCCUCACCGCUGCCGCCAACGAUAAAGAGAAAGCACUUCUCGGCGCCAAGAAGCUCGCCGGCAAGAGAAGGGCACGUGGCCCACCCGCCUACUCCAGAGGGCGGCGGCAAGCACGGCCUCGAUGGUGUCGGAGGCGAGGAGGGCGAGAAAUGCACGGGAACAUAUCUGAAUUAGCACUUUUAUUUGUUUAAAACAAAAAAAAAAAAAACUAAAAGGCCAAAAAUUAGAGAAUAAUAAAAAAAAUCAGAGAAAGAAAAAGAAAAUGAAAUUGCGCAGCUAAAAUUAAAUUGCACUAUUUUAAAAAAACGUUUUACUAUUAUGGACGUAAGUUGCAUUCUUUGAAAUGUAAACUGCACCAUUUAAGAUAAAAGUUACACUCUUUAAACGAAAGUUGCUGAAUACGAGAUGAAUUUUUCUGCUCGGUAUUUUAACGAGCUAGCUCGUGUUCAGCUUGUUGACACCCCUACUUGAGAAACAUGUUAUUAUAGAGAAUAUAAUAAACUGUUUUGGACGGAAAAAUUAGAAUAGUGCGAAUAAAGAUGAAUUAUAAUAGAAAAUAUAGAUACAAGCUAUUAAUUAAUUAACAUUUGAGUUUGCUAAAAAAAAAAUUGGUAAAUUAUUUAAUUAGUUAGUUAUAUACUUUUCUUAGUUCGGUGAUUAGCUAAUAAAUUAGUUCACUAUUAACAAUUUGCAAAUAAAAAUUGACGAAGAAGGAUAUUAAUUAGUUAGUAAGCAAUUACUUUACUAACUAGUAACUAGCUCUGUAUAUUCUUAUAAUAAUUAAUAAAUGAAUUGACUAUGAAUUAUAUAUAAAAUAUUAAUUAAUAUUUUAAUUUAUUAUUCACGUUGAAUUAGUUAAUUAGUUAGUUAACCAUAAAUAAUAGAUUAGACAGUUAAUUAUUUGGAAAAUUAUUUAAGAAAAAAUACAAAAUUAUUAUAUUAUUUUUGUGAUUUAUUCGAAACGAAAGGGAGACGCGGGGCGUUACGCAAUCGAAAAAUAUGCCCAAAUCGUCACGUGGGCAAAUAUUUCUAAUAGAAAUAGGACAAGGAAAGAUAAAGAACAGCACGGGCAUCUGAAACACGUGAGAAAGUACACAUUUCAGUGGGCAAAUAAAUAAUUUUUGUUGAAAAAAAUGUGGUUGUGUCGCCGAAACCGCUAAAAAAGGGCGGCUGCAACAACCAGCGUUUGAUAGUGCAGUUUGAAGGUACCUUUUUUUUAAGUUCAAAUUUUGUCAGACGUAAAAUUGUGCGCUUGCUUGCAUUAAAAAUUUAAGUCCCUGUCAGCACAAAUUAUAUCGUGCCAUUAAGAUAUUGAUACGAUACAGCUUUCAUAUUGAUGGUACAAUUUAAAACUUUAUAUUCUUUAAAUUAGUAAGUAAUUUUUUUUAAUACAAUUUAAAAAAUUUUAUAAAGAUAUAUAAUAAACAAUCAAAGCAUUUUACUUUAAAAAAAAAUAAACAUUUCAUACAUUAUAUGUCGGCAUAUAUAUAAGGGAGUCAAUACUCAUAAAAGUAUAGUAGCCAGACUAUAUAUAUAUAUAUAUAUAUAUAUAUAUAUAUAUACCGGCACGCGUCGAUACCGCUCGGCACGCAUCUGUUGUGCUGUGUCGGUACGUGCCACGAGUGCUUAAAUUCUUGGUCUGCAUUGUGUCUAAAUGUAUAAGAAUAAAAACAAAAAUAAAAAAAGAACAAUUAUGGAAAGGCUCCUUAUAGUAAGAUGAGAAUCAAUCCUUAAUAAAAGGUAAAGCAACGGGGAUUGCGAUGAAUCGUGUAUUGGAUUUGAAUUAAAAGUUUUGAUUUUAGUGUCUAUCUUUUAUAAUCUUUUAUUUUUAUACCCUGGAUCGUAUGUUCUCUCAAAUACAAUAAAACUAUUCUCUUAAUAAAAGGCUAUUGAAUAUUCUCCCGAGUAACACAAUAGUUUGUGAGAUUGCACAAAUCCUAUGUCAAAAUAUUUUAAAUAGAAUUAAAAUUUGACGGAAAGGAAGCAAAGUUAAAAAUAAUAAAAUUUAGAAGUAAAUUCAGAUAUGAAGCAUCUGCACAUUUUUCAUGUUUCUGCAAUGCACUAAUUGUGGAGAUUACUACAUCAAAUCAUUUGGGCACGUAUGGUAAUGACUAAUAAACUCAAUCAUUAGCACCUUUUUUAUUCUACUAAUCAUGUGAUUUUGAAUAAUUUGCUUCAUUAUUUUGUGAUUUUAUCUCUAUUUCACUUUAAAAUAUCUAUCAUUAAAUAGAGUGACAAGACAAUAAUACAAUUUACAAAUCAUAAAACAUAGGCCAAUGAGAUACUGCAGUUCGCCACCCAAUGAUUUAUAACUUUUAACACUUUAAUACUCUGACAGAUCCUUAACAGUGAUACAACGAAAAGCCAGUAGAAUGAAAAAAUAAAACUUUUAAACUAUCAAAUGGCAAAGUGAAAAUGUGUUAAAUCACAUGGGGAAAAUUGAAAUCACAAGAAUAUGAAAAUCAAGUAAUGUAUGGAUAUGAAGGGGCGGGGCGCAGAAUGUCUAUAGAAGUUCCAGAAUACAAACAACAGUAAAACAAGUAGUGCAUAUUUCGCAGUUCCCGCGAACUCGAUCUUUUCUCCCACAAUUUCUGUUUGUUCAACUCACAGAGAGGAUUUUAUGAGUCGGACGUGAGAAGGGCCAACAUCGCAUCUGCACUCUCGGGGCCAUCGUUGUUCACACUUGGAAUUAUGUGAUCCGGUGAUACGAAUCGCACAAACUCUCGCAGUUCAGUGAAGCUGCAGUGUUCGCUGUAUGGAACUUCAUACCUGAAUAUAAGCAAGGCCAAGGCCAAGAUCUUAUUACAAUGGGAGCUAACCAACUAUUAAAAGCUACCAGCUAAUAUGCAGAACAUAUAAUUUGACUGUAACUCCAUGCAUAGGACUUGUAGAAAUACAUAUCAAAAGCCCAGUCAUCACCUCAAAUUGAGAACUUUGUAAACCAGAAAGUCUGAAUUCUCAAACUGCUGCUAUGAAGAGAAGCUAAAAUAUGUUUCUGAGCACCAAAAGCAAAAGUUUCAACUUUGAACUUCUACUCUCGUUCUUUAAUAGUUUUGAUAAAAACCCAUUGGUGUUUCUCCUAACAUUUAUACUUAAACAUCACUUUUGCACAAGCUCCAGUAGGCUAAAGAAGCAUAAAUCAUCAUCAAAUUAGAGAUAGAGAGAGAAGCGGGAGCCGAUUAACGAAGACCCUUUCUUCAAUCUAGAAAAAGAAAUCAAUACCAUGGUCCUUUCCUAAUUGCAAGAGAGAGAGAGAGAGAAUUAGCUGUACAGAUGGAGAACUGGAUAUCAGAGCGCCUCUAAUUCAUGAAGGAAUUCUUGACGAAACUACUACUAGAGUCAUUUCUAAAUGAAACGAACAUAAAGAUCCCACAAUGUAUAUGUAGGUCCAACUUUAUCUUCAUAUUAAAUAAACAUUCCAGCAGUCCCAAAUACGAUAGACAUAAAUUGUUAAUUUGAAUGAAAUCAUACUUCAUACAGAAAUAUUAACGAGUAGCAUUAAGAGGAACGCUUGAAGUUAUACCUAAUGAUGGUGCCCUGUUGCCACCUUCUCCCAGGAGUUUUCCUUUUGCCUUUCCCAAAUGACCAACCAGUAGGAGAAAACGCAACAAUAAGAUCAAACCGGCCCUAAGCAACAUAAAGAAACAUCAGAUUAUCAUUUAGAACCUUUUCUCUAUGAAGAACUGAUAAAGAAAUGUUAUUUUCUUACAGCAUAUUGGUUGGAGAUAUAUUUCAUCCUCUUGAAGCUAGCAAGAGUCCACAUCGGGACGACAUGGAUGUGGCUCUCCAUUUCAUUCUCUGUGAACCAUUGCAUGUCCUCCUCGCGAAACUCCAAGCACCUCAACAAAUGAAGCUUCGCAGAUCCUACAAAUACUUUCUUUCUAAGCAGACGAGCAACCUCCAGAAAAACUCGCUCUUUUCCUGCAGUCAAGUGGUGAUUACAUGACAUGAUGCAUUGGAGAGAGAGAGAGAGAGAGAGAGAGAGAGAGAGAGAGAGAGGUACCAAUAGUGUAGCUACCAAUGAGAAAGAGAGUUUUUGGGUUGAACGACUCAGCUUGAAUGGCCUCAAUGACAAACUGUAUUACAACCUCUUGUUUUGGAAAGUCAUACUGCAUAGACGUGCCAUUACUAGCAAACACAGAUUCGAAAAUGAACUUGAAUAUAUAAAGAAAAUUAAAUGUAAAAAGCCCUUAAGAAAGGACAUACUUGAGGAUUACAGUAGGUUGUGUCGAGUAUGAGAGUGUGGAUACGACACGAUUGCAAUGCCGAGUAGCUAGCCAUCUCUGAAGAAAAUCUAAAGUCUCCAGUGUGCAGAACAGCCUAUGUAUCCAAACAAAAUCAGAAGCAUUUCAGAGGAUAUAACUGAGUUUCGUAAUAGAAUUAACAAGAUAAAGUUUGAGAAUAAAUGCCAAGAGAAAUUAAUACUAUGCCAUUCAGAAACUCAAAAAUAACUUACCUUACCAUUGGGUGGUUCGAAAAGAAUUAUGAUAGAUCCAGGGCAAUGGUUCGCAUCGAAGCAUGUCAAACUAACACCUGCAACAGUAAUCUUUUGGUUUAGAGGCAAGACUUGCAGCCUAUCCCCUGGCACACCGAUCUUGAGGUUUAUAAGGCGUGCUGUGAUUGAAGAGCAAUAGAUCUUUCCAUGACAGAAGUGUCUCGUCAAACCCUGGUAAUCUACAGGAUAAAGAAGAAAUGAAUUUCUUAUAAAGAAUCAUCCAGCAAUGUAUAGAGAGCAUUUUAAUAUAUGCCUCUCACCUGUCUUCCACUGUAAAGUGAAAAAAGCUUACCAUACCCUAGCACCAUUUCUAAUGUUAAAUUACUGUUUUGAAAUUGAAUGAACCAAUUUUGAAAUAAGAUCAACAAAUAUGAGACCUAAAGUGUGAUAGCAGAUCAAAUGGAGGUCGACUUUUCAAGCUUAAUUAAUGUAUAUCAGUGGCUGUCAUGAAGGAGAAUACUGGACUUACGGUCUAUAUGGAAGUGUGUUAGAAACCAGUGAGAACAGUCUCCUCUUAAAUAACGAAAUGCAUCCUGCAAUCACAAGAUAGUUAAUCAGCAAAGAAUAUGUAGGAUCCGGCAAACUUCAUAAAGAAGGGCCAGGAAUAAGACUGUUUGUCGAAUAGCUUUGUGAACUAUCUUUUAGGUAGACAAUGCAGCAUUAUCAGACAGUACUAUAUUACACUCAUUAUUCUUAGCAAUUAAUGCAAUUUAACAAACAUGCACAAAAAAAAGUAGAUAUCUGAUAACAAAUUGAAGAAAUUAAGACAAUAGGAAAAGAAAGAGAACAAUGUUUCAUUAAAGCAUGAGCUCUGAUCUAGACCUGCUGCUUCAGCAACAAAGAGCAGAAGUGGAGAGGAUCCUAAUAUAAUUUUCUUUCUAGAUGGCACUAUUCAAAGUCUCAAACAGCACUAAGCUGUACAGGAGGAUCAAACAUUCCUAAAUCUUAAUGAAGAUUUACGCAUAAUCUGUAUCAGGAAUGUGUUAAUAGCAAAUAAUCUCCUACAGUGUACCUUGGAGCCAAAAAAAAAAAAAGAAAAAAAAAAUCAUUUAGCAAGAAAGCCCACAAUAAUGAGAACAAUGGUUUAUUAAACAUGUCAUGCAAGUUUGCACAUUGAAGGAAAAGCCCAUUCUAUCAAACACAAUAGCAGAAUCACAAUAAAUGCGUUAAAUGCACUUGCGUACCAAUGCAAGGGUAGGGCAUAGAUAGGUUGUAUAGACUCAAUUCCAUAGUAAAAAACAGAUGACAUGGUCAGUACACGAAAUGAAUUAAAGCAUAAAACAAUUAGUUUAAAUCCUAGUAGGAAAAGAAAAAAAAAAAGAGGAUCAUGGAAAAGCAAAUUAUAAAUGCUUGACUAAAAUAUAAAAUGACUCAAACAUACCACUCGAAAUGGCGUCCCUGGAAUGCAACACCAAGGAGGUAUAUCUCUAACUUUACCUAUAUUUACACAUUUUCUACCUCUCUUUAUAGCUGAAUUCCUCUGGCUCUUCAUACCUGGGGGUUUGCUGACAGUGCAAAUCCUGUUUGUAUCAAUGACAGAACCACGAAAGUAUUCUGUUAUUAAUUUAUUCCCAGAAGAAAAUUUGGUGCACACAUUAGUUAUUUGAUUUGACGAAUUAGUAUCAACAUCUUCGGCAUGACAGUGUCUUUUACGCAACUCGCUGAGUGCAUGGAUAAUCUUCUUUCUAGGACCAAAUGCAUCAAUUCCUAUGUUCAGAAGAUCCUGUAAUAAUUCAGUAAGCCAAGACCAUCAAAUAACCAGCAUGACGAGAUGUAGAACCAUUUACAGAUGACAACUAUUAAUAAAUUGUUUGGUAACGGAUCUUAGAUCCACGGACUUCUUUAACACAAUAUGGCGCAUGAUCAAAAUUAUGGAGAAUAAACGCAGCUGAUGAGUAAUAUAUUGUACCUCUUCGGUUAGCCAUUGCAAAGUUUCCCAAUCAAUCUCUUCCCUCACAAAAACUUGCUCAUAUCUAGAUAAACCCAAGCUCCUCAGGAAUUCAAUAGCCGAGCUGGUGUCAACAUUGCCUUGAGGUAAUGUUGAUUUUGCUCCAGAUACUGAAUGAAUUGCCUACAAGAUACAUAUUAAUGGCCACAAACUGAAAUAUUAUAUUUUGGCUUAUUAUUUUUUGACUUCGCAACAAACUAUAAUGAAGAGGGCAAUACAAAGAAAUAAAUACAAUAUACUCAGAUAUAUCAACUCAGUAUUCAAAGAAAUAAACAACACAAUAUAUUCAAAUACAUCAGCUCAAUAUUCAUUCCAUAAACAAACAGAAACUAACUGAAAGACAUUGACAAACUAGUGCAAAUGCGCAUGCACACACCGCACACCGAGAGAGAGAGAGAGAGAGAGAGAGAGAGAGAGAGCCCAAAUGCCUAAAAUCUUCAACCAGUUGAUAGCUUAGGCUUCCCCCGGCAUAGCGCAUGGCAUUCCCAAAUAGUGCCAAUUUACAUAAUUACAUGAGUGAAAGAAAAAAAAUAGCAUAUAUAGAUUAGAGGCCCAGCGUAUUCAAUUGAGAUGAUUAGUUCUCUCUUUACAGGGCAUUUGGAUUGACGUAAUUGUAGUUCAGUUUUGGAAGCAGUAAAAAUAUUGGUCUUGUCAUCAACUAGCAUAAUACCGAAAAGAUUCACCAUCUAGUCAUAGGCUAGAUUUUUUAGUCUUUCUAUGAAAGAUGACUUAGGCCCAUUUUAAAGGGAAUUUAUUUUUAAGAAUAUAAACCCAUGGCUACCUACAGGAUUUUUUCAGUGCCUCAUGAUGGAUACCGAGACUAAUAUUUGUACUCUUAAUGAACUUGAUUUACGAUCGAAUUGCAACUUCAUCAAUCCAAACGCCCCCCCUUAAUGUAGGACCCAUGUUUCUGCAUAUAAUAUCAAAGCCACACCGAGGGACGUUACCAUGCAGUUCCCCAGUUGCACAUUUAAGUUAUACUCAGCAGAAGUAGGACAUGAAGGAUGAUCGCAACAGCAUAUUAUAGAAUCAUGAUCCUGAAAUCUCAUAUGGAAUCUAUAUUUAAAUUUUAGAAGAACUUGAACAAGUGAAAGCAUGUCGAAAGAGGUUGCAAGAGUAAACUACACAGCAAUUCUCACAAACUGAUUAACUAGGACAGCUCAAACCGAUGCAUUUAUCAAACCAGAUUUAAACUUAGUCUAAAAGUAUAAGCUGCAUUACAUAAUAGUUAAAAAACAAGGUUUUCAAAAACUGAGGAAAUUUCAACUCCAUAAAACAAACCUAGGAAUUAGUUGACACAAAUUGGCACUAAACAUGAUCCCAAAAAAGUCUGAUAUUGAUCACCCACAAAAAUGUAAACAGAAAUAGAUAAACCUGCCCAGAUUUGAACAAAAUCUCCAUAGUCAGACUAAAUAAGUUAAACUAGUAUUUAAUUUAUUCCGGAUAUUUUGGCAACCCCUUAAACUACUAUCCGUAAAACAGAGGGAAAAUAAAAAUCAUGAAUAAGGGCAAUGCCAAAAGUUAUCGGCUCAACAAAUUCUUUCAACUCUAAUUAAAGUUUUCAUGUGUAGCAUGUUUACGAAACGUAGUUGUAAAAAAAAUGCCUAGCCAAACUAACAAAAGAGCUGGUUGAGUUAAUCUACCCCUGAAGUUCCAUCUUUGUCCAGGCAAUCAUUGGUGUGAAUCUGCCGCUGUUCUUCACUCAAAUCUGAGAUAUCGAGUCCACACAACGGACAUUCCACUCGAUCACUCCACAGCAACUCAGAUGCUGCAACAUCCAGAUUACUCCUUUCAAGUACGGAGGCUUCGCGGUUCAUAUCGCCUUGGGCAUCCACCUCAGAGCAUAGAUUCAUCAAUUCAUUUAGCUGCGUGCCCGCCUCGGAAUCCUCGUCAGUAUUGCCUUCUGAGCAAUCACCUCCAUUUCUACAAGAAAUAGAAUUGGCUCUUGGUUCCAACAAUCUUGAUUCAAUAGACAUCAUGUAAUAGCUCCCCUUAGGAAUCUCACACUUACUCCCUUGUUUCUCCUCAUCAUCUGCUAAUUUUGAUGCUGUUGAUGUAAAAAGAAGUGAUUUUUCCUCCUUGUUACCAAUCCCACUCUCUCGUACUCUCCCAUAUCCCUCUAUUCGCGAUUGAAACGAUGCACGAACGACAGUUUCCUCGUCCUUUACACGAUUAUCAGAUGCAAAGCAGAAAAUAUCCCUCCGAUCCGUCGCCUCCCUCAACACUUCUCCAGAAAUCCUAGAAUCGACCUCUAGGGUUUUGGAUACCGCCCGAUUCUCCUUCCCCGGCGCAGGAGCUGGCUUCGCCCGCUUCUUCUUCGGGCGCGUGGCGUUGGACGGCUUCAAUGGCUCAGAUCUAGGGUUUCCGAGGGAGGAUAGCAAGAGACUCUGCGCGAAGGAGAAGGCCUCGCUAGGGUUUUGGAAAUCGUCGCCGUCGUCGCCGUCCUCGGAGAUCGCUAGGGUUACGGCUCGCGCAGGGUUUUGUGCCCUAGGUUUCGUCGAGGGUUUAGGGUUUGAGAGCAUUUUUAAUGGAGAGGAUACGGGGGAAGGGGAAGGAGAUGAGAGCUCACUAUGAGAGCAUUCGUAAAUGCUACCGGAGGGAAGAGGAAGAUGAGGGGUUUUUUACGAAAAUGUCCCUCUCGAUAAUUAUAUUUGUUGCUCAGGACCUGGUUGGUUGUGUGGCAUGCAAAGCUAUUUGCUUAGUAACUUUGGAAAUAUAUAUAUAUAAUAAUAUAUAGGGUAGUGCUACUAUGCUAUCCGAAGUAUCUAAUGCUUCCAAUUUUUUAACCAUUAGAUAAAAAAUUAUACGGUUGGGAUGAUUGCCAUCCCUCAGGGUUGAGUAGUACCCGUAGGGUUAAGUGAUCCCCACAGGUUAAUAGUAUUAAUCCAACAGUUAGAAAUGAUUAAAGGGAUUGAUAUAAGGGCUAAAAAUUCGGAAGCACCAGAUCUUCUAUACUUCCGAUAGCAUAAUUGCAAUACUCAUAUAUAUAUAUAUAUAUAUAAUAUAUAUAUAUAUAUUAUAUAUAUACUAUAUAUAAUAUAUAUAUAUAUAUAUAUAUGAAUUGAGCUUUUUAUGCUUUAAAAAUACCAAGUUAUUGGUGCUUGUAAAUUUUUAGCGCUUGGAUUAAUAGAUUGUGCGGUUAGGAUGAUGUGAGCCCCCUUGGUUUAGUAGGUGGUUGGUUGAAUAGUAUAAUCUAACGGUGAAAAUGAUCAAAAACGUAGAAUCUAACAGUAAAAAAUUCACAAGCACCAAGUGCUUGGUGCUUUUACAAGCCCAUAGCCGGACUCUCUCCCCCUCUAAUAUAUAUAUAUAUAUAUAUAUAUAUAUAUAUAUAUAUAUAUAUAUAUAUAUAUUGUAUUAAAAUUAUUCUUAAUAAUUAUUAAAAAAAAAAAAAAAAAACUGAAAUUUAGCACUUUUGUAAUAUAAUUCAUAACUUUUCGUUUGCAAAUAGGCCCUCCAAAUUUUAUUAAAUAGUUUAAUAGGUACCUAUGCCUGACAAAGUUAUUAAUUAAUAGCCAUUUUAAUCGCAUAUCUUACACAUAAUUUUUAUACUUCAAACCAUAGAGAAAUUUUUUUUUUCUUUAUUUCAAUAAUUAACUAUCAGAAUGAAAAUAUAGUAAAUCUAUCUUGCAAUUUAUUGCUUUUUCUUGUGUUAGAAAAGAAAAAUAUAUAUAUAUUUUUUUGUAUUUAAAGUUGGCCAAUUUGCAUAAAAAUCCACUUAUUUGGGCUUUUGCAAAACCGGCAACCUUUUUUGUUUUUGCAGAUUGGUCCACUUUUUCAGCAAACUGACAAUACCCUUUUUACUUUUCUCUUUCCUCUUUCUUCCUUUCUCCUCUUUCGUUUCUCUCGUCUUUUUUUUUCUCGCCGCAGAGCGGAGGCGAAACGGUCCGUCUCCGCUCUCACCCUCAUUCUCUAGCCCUGCCUCGCCCUCGCCUCCGCCACGCACGCCACCAUUCCUCGCCUCCAACCUCGCUAAGGCGCGCGCACGACUUUUUUUUUUUUGCUUUUUUCUUUUCUUUUCUUCUCCGACUCUUCUCCACCGUCUCCGACGACGAUGCCUCCUCGUCCUUCUCGUCCUUCCCGCCCUUCUCAUCUCUCCCUGUCCUCAUUCUCUGCCGCCUCCGACGACGAUGCAUCUUCGCCGGCGCCGACGUCGACACCCGUGGAGGUCACUACGACGCUACAGGCUCGGAGCGGGGGUCCUUAGCGUGUUGUCGCCGGUACCUCGUGCUGUUGGCAGAGAAGGUGACAAAAAAAAUUAUAGAAAAACAGAAAAAAUAAAGAUAAAAAAUUAUAUAAAAAAAAGGAUAACAUCAAUUGUAUCGUUAACGUGCAAAAAAAAUUAUUAAGUUGCACUAUUUAAGUGUAAACUGCAGCCUUAAGAUGAAAACACACUCUUUAAACGAAAAUUAAACUCUUUGAGAAAUAAUUUACACUGUUUUCUUCUUAUUACACCUUUCAGAUGUAAACUGCAUCCAUUAAGAUGAAAGUUACACUCUUUAAACAAAAGUUGCACUGUUUCUCUUGUUGCACCAUUUUUUCCUCUUGUUAGCUAUUUUUUAUCUUAAACUGCACCAUUUUAAGAGAUAUUUAUACUGUUUCUCCUCUUGUUGCACUAUUUCUGCCGUAAAAUAGAGAAAAUAGUGCAACAAAGGAGAAACAGUGUAAGAAAGAGAAACUGCACUGUUUUAAGAGAUAUAUAUACUGUUUCUCCUCUGUUGCCCAUUUCUGUGUAAAUAAGAGGAGAAAUAGUGCAACAAGAGAGAACUCACUGUUUAAAGAGAUAUAUCUACUGUUUCUUCUCUUGUUGCACUGUUUUUCCUCUUGUUGCACCAUUUCUGUGUAAACAAUAGGAGAAUAGUGCAACAAGAGGAGAAACAAUGCAAUAAGGGAGAAACUGCACCCUUUUAAAAGAUAUUUAUACUGUUUCUCCUCAUGUUGCACUGUUUCUCCUCUUGUUCACCAUUUAUGUGUAAAUAAGAGGAGAAUAUGCAACAACAAGGAGAAACAGUGCAACAAGAGGAGAAACAGUAUAAAUAUCACUUAAAAGGAUGCAUUUAAGAUAAAAAAUAUGUAUAAUUUUUCGUUCAAAGAGUAUAAUUUUUAUCUUAAAGCAGCAGUUUACAUCUUAAAUAGUGCAACUUAUAAUUUUUUUGUAAUUAACGAUGUAAUUUCAUCUCAUCAUUCUUUUUAUAUAAUUUUUAUCUUAAUUUUUUUCUGUUUUUUUCUAUAAUUUUUUUGUCACUUCUCUGCCAACAGCUACCGGCGGCCGUGACGACGCCGCUAAGGACCCCCGCUCGAGGCUGUAGCGCGCAGUGACCUUCUACAUUGCGUACGUCGCGCCGGCGAAGAUAAAUCGUCGUCGGAGCGGCAGAAGAUGAGGAGAGGGAGAGAUGAGAAGGGGGGAAGGGCGAGAGCGUCGUCGUCGAGACGUUGGAGAAAGUCGGGAAAGAAAAGAAAAAGAAAAAAGAAAAAAAAAAAAAGUCGCGGCGCGGCCUUAACGGGGUCGGAGGCGAGGAAGGUGGGGGUGCAUGGACGAGGGCAAGGGCGAGGGCGAGAGCAUGAGGGUGAGAGGCGAGACGGACCGUUUCUGCCUCCGCUCCGCCUCCGCUCUACCGGUGAGAAAAAAAAAAAAGAACGAGAGAAACGAAGAAGAGAGAGAAAGAGGAAAGAGAAAAAGUAAUAAGGGUAUUUUGAUCAGUUUGCUGAAAAAGCGGACUGAAUCUAUAAAAAUGAAAAAGGUGGCCCGAUUUUGCAAAAGCCCAAAAUAAGUAGAUUUUUUAUGCAAAUUGGCCUUUAAAGAUUUGCAAGAUUAUAUGCAAUACAACCAACAAAAACGGCUAUAUAAUAGUAACUUCGGUUAAAAUAGUUGAUAAAGUUUAUAGAGGUUUAAUUGCCAAAGUUAAAAAGUUCAAGUUUACUUGCGAAAGUGGUAAAGAUCAGGGGGUCUUUAUAAAUAGGGUUAACUGCAUAUAAUCUCUCGGCAAACAUAACGAGUUGUAAUAUAUUCUUAUAAAGUUCAACUUUCUUAUGUUAUUCCUGUAAAAAUCCAAUGAUAUUUAUAUUUGUCCUUGUGGUUUGUUUUUUUUAGAGAAUUGUUUAUUUUUUAACAGCAUAUAAGUGAAAUAUCAAUUUUGUCAUCACAAACAUAUCCCUCCAAAAGCCCCAACUGUUGUAAUCGUGUAGAAAUAUGUUCCUAAAAAAUUUUUAAUGAUCAUCUUCUUCCUCUUUAAAAUCCAACCCAAUCCACUAUUAUUACAACCUCUUCUCUUACUCAUUUUCUCCUAAAUCUUUUCUUUUUAGCAAAAUAAGAAAAAUUAUAAAGUAAAUUGAAUAUAGAAACAACAAGCAUUUAACAUGGGCAAAGCAAUAUGCAUCGUGAAUGAAUGGGAUAGAGAAAUUCUAGUUACGGAUUCGAAACUAGCAUGAAGGAGAGAGAGAGAAAGAGAAAGAAAAGCAGAAUUUUUAUUACUAAAGUUUUGAUUGAGAGAAGAAAGUAUAAUAUAAAAGGGUAAAAUGUCAAUUUAUCUUAUUGACUAAUCAAAAUUAAGUAUUUUACAUAUAGUUAACUAAAAUUUUCUAACGGAUCCUAACGACAAGGGCAUAUUUGAAAAUAUUAUAACUUUUAUAGGAAUAAUAUAAAAAAGUUGAACUUUCAUAAAUAUAUUUGCAAUUUGUUAUAUUUACAUAGAGUUAUAUACAAUUAACCCUUGUAAAUAUAUCCUAUUUCUUCUUACAGUGCUCCUAGGUGUGCAAGGCUAAUAGGGUUCUAAUCUUACAACUUAGCCCAUCUAAAGGCUACAAUUAACACACUAGUUUUAUCUUUUUUUUUCUUUUUAUUUUUGCACUAAAAAUAAAUUUAAAAAAAAAGAUUGUUUACACCCUUAAACAGUUGAAUAAGUGGAUUAGGGAUUUUAAAAAUUACAUUUAAAUUGUAGACCUAGCAUACCUCUUUCUAUUAUUAGUAAAGAGCAUUAGAUUAGAGCUUCGGAUUCUUAUUUUCAAUUUCCGCUACAAUAAAAGCACCUAUUUUCAUUUUUUUUGUUUACCAAAUCCUCGACUAAAAUUAGUUUUGAUGAAAAUAGAAGCCGAGCUAAAUAAGCAGUUGCAGCUGCUCAAGAACUAAGCAAAUGCUAUAACCAAUUUUAUUAGAGAGCCUAACAAUCAAAUUGGUAGAAAUUUUGGUUCGCACUAAACCAAGUGAAAAUAUGAAAAGUAUUUAGAAAUCAAGUUAAAUGUCUCCAUGACGAUGAAUACAUCUACAGGUUUGACACAUUUGUCAUGAAUUUCUUUCUUUAAUCUAAUCAAAUUUUGUUGAGAAUCAUAGUUAGUUAAUUCGAAUUCGAUAAAAAUUCGAUAGGUUAUACUACGAAUAAAAUUUGUACCCUAAUUUUUAAAUUCGUUAAAAAAUACGGCUUAAAAAAUGGAUUCGCCAAUUAUUCGAAUACGCAGUUUAUAUAAAAAUUAUACGUUCAUCAAUUAGAAAUUCGGGAUAAAAAAUUCGGCUAUUAAAUUAAACUUUUUUUUUAGAUUUAUGCUACUAGCAUAAAUAGUUAUAAUUUUUAAAAAUAUAAAUUAAAGAGCUACAAAAUAAAAUAGAUUAAUUAUUAUACACCAAGAUAUAUAAAUAAUUAAACAAGAAAAAGAUUAAGAUGGUCCAUAAGUAAACAUAAAAUAUAUAAUUUUUUUUUUUAGGGCGAGAGAAUAGAGAAUUCAUACUUAAACAUAAAUAUAGGAUAGUCCAUACCUAAACAUAAAAAAAAUAUAAAGUUUUUUAUUCGGAUUUUUAAUAAUUUAUGAAUAAUUUGUGAAUAAUUCACGAAUAAUUUGGCUAGCCUAAAAAAUUCUCGUUUUAUUCCCCUUUUUAGGAAAAAUUCGCAUGCGAACUACUUUAUUCAGAUUUUUAAUAAUUCGCAAAUAAUUUGCGAAUUAACUAAGAGAAUUGAGAAUCCAUUAUAAUGUCACUGCAUUCAUCUACUCUGGCAAGUAGGAUUGAUUUCAACGAGUUAUGAUUUACUAAUAACCACCGUCUAAAAUAAUCGAUUGUUAUUUGGAAUGUCUAUUUUUAGGGUGUGCAAGUUCGAACCAUAGUAAUGCAGUUCAGAAAAUAUAAGGAUUAAAAAAAAAAAAAAAGAAAGAAAAGAAAAGAAGAAGAGAAAUUCCGACAGAUUUGAACCUACUGCAUCUGUGAAUAUGCCGUAAGUCCCAAGUGCGGAAAUGUCUGAAUAUGUGACUGUGUUAAAUUGAGAACUAAUAAUUGGUUCUCAAGACCGACUGUCCCUAGAGCAAGUGGCAAAGGACUUGGUGGUUGGUACCCUAGACUCAUGUUCAAAUCCUAGUUGAUUCACUUUUCUAGCUAAGUUUACUUCUAAAUGAAAUAAACGAAACGGAUAGCGUGCUACCUAUCUCUCUCAAAAAAAAAAAAAAAAAAAAAAAAAAAAAGUUCUCAAGAGAAAUGAAUUUUAAAUCUGUCUAGGUUUUGGGUCAAAUUAAAUACGCACUUAGGCCCGGGCCCAUUGUCAAAUUUUUACAUCUAUUAUUAGAUUUGGGCUGGUCUGAAAUGAUCAGAUCACCUGGGCUUGAUUAGGUCUGACUCACUGGCCACCAGUUUCGCAAUUGAGUACAGAUAUGGGUGACUUAAAAGUGAAAAAGCACAUUCAUCACUUAAGUUUCAUACAAGCAGAUGGAGACAAUAAGGGCAUGUUUGGUUCAGCUAUUUUAGACGAUGGAAUCGGAAUGAGAUUAAUUGAUUUUGAUAGUUGUUAUUUAUUUUAUAGGAAUUGGAUUUCGAUUUAUGACUCGUUCAGGCUUUGAAUUUCGAAUUGGCCCCUUCCAAAAUAAACUACUCAACAUUCUCUUUCACCAACACCUUCCCUCCUCUCCCUUCAUCACUUUCCUUCCUCUUAAUUAAAGCCCUUUCUCAAAAAUUCUAGAUUUUCAUUGCAGUAAUGAACCAAACAUUUUUGGAUGAUUUUUCAUUCUAUUUUCCAUUUCAAAGCAAUCUAAUUCUAUUCCUCGUUCCUAUUCCAAUCAUAAACCAAACAUGCCCUUAAGGGUGCGUUUGGUUCGAGUUAUCCUGGCAGGAUUACAGGCAAUCCUGCCAGGAUAACUGUGUUUGGUUAAUCCGCUAUGUAAUCUAGUCGUUAAUGUAGCAUUACAAAUCGAGCAGAAUUACAUCGAAAAUAUUAACGGGAGGGGGGUCGUGUAUCUUGCAUUACUAAAAUCCGUUAAUACUACAUAUUAUGUAAAAUGACAAUUUUACCCUCCAACAACCCAAAUCUAAUUAACAGUAUUAUUUUCAUCUCUCUGUCGCCUUCCCUCCUCUCGCUCUCUCUCUCUCUCUCUCUCUCGCGCGCACGCGUACGAACACCUAUCAUCUUCUAUUGCGUCGUCCUCCCAGGUAAUCAUCAUGAUCUUCUUCCCUCCAUUUGUCAUUUUCGCAAAAAAUAAUAUUCAAAUGACCACAACAAGGAUAAUUUUGAAAAAAACUAUACUUUUAUGUCAGGAUUACUAAAUUUUAAAAACUGAACCAAACGUAUUAAUGCUAUAAACAGUGUAAUCUAGUAUUACAUUACUGCAUUAAACCAAACGCGUUAAUACGGCAUCAGUAGUAAUCUUACGUCGAAAUCCAAGAUGCCUGGAUAUGUCGAGAUACUUUGUAAUAUUACAUAACUCGAACCAAACGGGCCCUAAGUGUGUGCUGCUUGUACUGCUUUGUACAAAAAUGAUCAUAACAUAUUCUUGCCAAGAGAUUAUAGAUUUAAGACAUGUUUGGUUCACCUAUUUUAGAAUAUAGUUGGAAUGAGAUUUAUUGAUUUUAAUAUUUGUUGUUUAUUUUACAAGAAUCGAAUUUUGAUUCCUAUUUCACUCUGAAAUGAAAAUGGCCAAAUCCAUUUAUAACCUAAUUCGGCUUUGAAUCCCAAAUUGAUCCAUUCCAAAGUAAAUUACUUAAAAUUCUCUCUCAUAAACAUCUUCCCCUCCCUUCCCUUCAUCACUCUUCUCUCUCUCUUAAUCAAAACUCUAUUUCAAAAUCCUAAAUUCUCAUUCCGAUUUCCAAUUCAAUAAUAAAAAAAAAAAAUUUAGAUGAUUCAUCAUUCUAUUUUCUAUUCCAAAACGAAUUUUAUUUUCUAUUCCUAUUCCAAUCGUAAACCAAACAUGCCUUUAAUUCCCACUAGAGAUGCUAAUAGAUCGGUUUAGAUGAAUUUUUAAAAAUUUGGAUCCAAAUUCAAAUUCGAUAAUCAAAUCAAAAUUCAAAUUCGAAUCCGAAACCCAUCGGGUUUCGAAAAUUCAUAUGCAGAACUAAACCCGAUUAAAAAUUCGAAACCUAAACUCGAACCACGAACCCAAAAUAGUCAUUUUUCUUUGGCUAAAUUAUAUAAAAUCUCCCUGUCAAAACCCAAAUUUUCACUUUUUUUCAUGUCAUUUAAAAACCUAUAUUUUGUCCCCUUGUAAAAUAAAAAAUAGUCACAGGGGGUACAGUGUAAACUGUGAUGACAAAAUGACCAUUUUGCUCCUCACCAUUUUUGGUAACAGGAGAGAAGGCUGAGGGUAUUUUUGGCAUACAAAAAUAUAAAAUAAUAUUUUAUAAACAGAACCCUAACGGAUCACUAACGGCAGGGGGGUGAAAUAAAUAUUUUUUAUUUUAUAAGGAGGCAAAGUGUAGGUUUUUAAAUAACAGAGAGGGAAAGUGAAAAAUCGGGUUUUGACAGGUAGAUUUUUUAUAAUUUAGCCUUUUUCUUUACCAUAUUUUAAAAUAUAUUUAUUAAAAUUAUAAAUUUAAAUAUUAUAUUAAACAUUCAUAUGUAUAUAUAUAGAGAGUGCAGUUACUAUACUCUUAUGAAUAUAGUAGCUGUUGUACUCAUAAGUUUUUAAUCAUCAAAUUUGCUUCAAUAUCUGUGCAGAUCUGAUAGCUUAUCAAACUAAAUUAACUACCCCCAGUUAACUCCAUUCAACCAAGUUAACUCUUAAUUAAUUUCUCCUCCAACAACCCAACCUUCCCCGACCACACCUACUAGGGUGCGGCACGGCCGACAUUUGCUGUGCCGAUUCGGGGUCUUCGCCUUCCACCCAACAAGCUUGGCUUGGAUUUUGUCCCAUAGGGGCUGGCAGUGUGUGGUGCUGGGCCGGAGCUACCAAGCCUUCGGCCUAGCACAUCCGCGGAAGGCCCGGUGUCGGGCCGGACCAUGCUCGGGGUCGAGCCCCUAAAAGGUUUUAUUUUUUUAGAAAAUAUGUAAAAUUUAAAAUAUAAACAAUAAAUUAUUUCUAUGUAAAUUAAUAUUUUGAUUAAAAAUUUAAAAUUUAUAAAAAUAAUUAUAAUAUAACAAAUAUUUAAUUUUUUCUAAUAUAUAUAUAUAUAUAUAUAAUUUUUUAUUUAAAAAAAAUUAAGAGCGUUUUUUGGUCCAAUCCAUUGGACCAAAAAGCUCCUCCCAAGGUCUGCGGUGAAAGACCUUUGGAGGAGAGCUCCUGGCCCUUUUACCUAGAAGCUCAAACCCUAAGACUGCCUUGAGCCUUGUCGUGUCAGGUCAUCGGGCCCAACAGGAGAGGCCCAACAUGGCCCUGAAGCUCGGGUCGGGCUAGGUCGGCACGGGUGCCACUGCACUCGUGCCGUACUACAGCCUAGCUCGAGGUCAUGCCGGGCCAGGCAAUCCGUACGGCCUCACCACCCAGCCCAUUUUACAUCCCUAGUUGCACUUGCACCACCCUUCUCCUUGGCCUAUGGCAUGGCCGCACUCUUGGUUGAGGGCGCCGGCACAUCAGACCUCCUCCCUCCUGGCCACCCACGCCGACACCACCGUAGAGAGAGAAAGAGAAAGAGAGUCCUACGGUGCUUUUAAAAGCACCGAGUAUUUGGUGCUUGUAAGGUUUUCACACUGUUAGAUUUAUCCCCUUGACUAAUUUCAUCCUUUUGAUCAUACUAUUUCACCAACUACCCACUUAAUCCUAGAGAUUAAUAUCAUUUUAACUCUAUAAAUUUUCGUUCAAAGACAAAAAAAUUAUAAGCAUCAAUAACUUAACACUUUUACAAGGUUUAUUCUUUUUCUUUUUGGAUGUGUAAGGAAGGACAAAAUUGAUUAUUUUACACAUUAAUCAUAAUUAAGUUAUUUGGUUCAACUUUACUUAUGGUUCAACA